UAUAUUCAGAUCAAGUCGUUACUACAGGCACAACAUAAUAUUAUGAAAAAACUUCAAAUACCACUACUAUAAUUUUACGUUUUUUCACUUUAAUACCCUAUGGUUUAAAAUGUAUCACUCUAAUAUCCUGUGAUUUUGUUUUGUUAUUCUUUCCGUUAUCCCCUCUGUUAAUUUUUUCAUUAAAUCAGUAAUAAAAUUAAAACGGCAGGGUAUUAAAAUAAAAAUUCGGUAAACCAUAAAGUACUAAAGUGAAUAUUCGAUAAACCAUAGAUAGGGUAUCUGAAAUUUUUUGGAUAUGAUUUAACGGAGAGUUAGCGAAAGUGCUGACGAAAAGAAAAAAGUAAAACCACGGGAUACUAAAGUGAUAUGCUUUAAACUAUAGUGUACUAAAGUGAGAAAAUACGAAAUCACAAGGAUGGUAUUUGAAGUUUACCCUAAUAUUAUUAUUAUAUAUUCAGAUCAAGUCAUUGCCAGUUUGCCACAGACACAUCAUCAUGCCAGUAAUUCCCAAACGAGCUCCAAAGGAAAACAUACUUGAAAUAAAAGAAGAUCGAACCUGCAAGUGACUUCCAAACAAGCUCCAGAAAAUACAUAAAAGCAGAUCAAGAUAACAUGUCAAACCCAGUUAAGCAACAUCUACAGAAUACAAGCAGUUUGUAGCAUCAUAAGAUCGAGUUGUUCGAGUAUUCAUACCCUUCAAAUUUAAUGCAAUAAUUAACAUGAUUGUAGUUCUCAACAUUCGUCAAAAAGUGAAGCGCAACCGAAUCUAUAAGAGCCUCAAAUCUAGUACAAGUUUUAAUGGUAAGAUUUCGCUUUUGCUUAGCCAGUUAAGUGUUAAAGUAACAAGGCUUGGUAUAAAUACUACUUGCGGAAAAAAAAAAAGAAAAAAAAAAAUCUUCGAGGUGCAGCAAGAAAAUUCACCUCUGAUUUCGUAACACGAGCAUAAUAUAUAGGCUAAAAUUCUUUGAUAGAACCCCGACGAACUAACUAAACUAUUCUACCCACAGCAGAUACAUGUUCAAUCAACGUCGGUCAUGUUAGAUUAUAACAGAUGAUUCAACAAUAGCAUCUCUCAAUACACCUUCGUGGAUAUUCUGCAUGAUUGAAGGAACCCAAAAAUCUUCAGCAAAGAUGAGAUGAUUGUUCUUCAGACAAUUGGCUAAUAUGACUACCGAAAGCCUUUCCCUUGUAUACAGAUCAAAUCGACAACGAAGGCAGGAGACUGACGGUAGAUAAAAUAGGAGGCUACGUAUAAUACUAGAUGGCUAAAUUGUUUCGUUGCCAAAAAUAUGAGCCAUUGUCUUAUCCUGUGAGCAGAUUUUCUUUCAGACACAUCAGUUCAUUAUACUGAAUUCUCCAUAAAUAUACGCAAAAUUACGGCGAUCAUAUAUUUCACAAUUUGACCGGCCUUUUCAUCGAGUUCCCUCUAGUAUAAGUACAAUAUCAGUAGACAGAAACCAAAAAAAAAAAAGAAAAAAAAAAAAUCAGAAGCCAGUAUCUUUGAUUAAUAUGUCUAACCAAGCAAUGUGAGUUCUUGUAGGUUUGAAUUUCUCAUAUAAUUAAAAGCACAGAAGACUGAUUAUGUGACGGUUAGAAAAUUCACGUUUAGUCUUAGUAAUUUCGGGGCUUUUAUACUUACUAAUUAGUUUUGGAUGUCGGUUAAAAGCCUCAAAACUUUUCAAAAGGAUUAAAAAAAAAUGUAGAGAUAUAGAAUAAUCACAAGAAAACCAAAUUUCAGCAUAUUUUCGUUGUUAUAGAGUGAUGAUUUAUACAACUUUUUUGAAGAAACAGGGGUUACCCUCCCUUUUCUCUGUUCAAGGCAAGAAUGAAAAAUUCAAACAAAACAUAAAUGAUCCAGUUUUGUAACUUUUGUCCUAUAGCGAAAUCUGGCAUACACUGAGAGAUUACUUUACUUCUUCAAGAAAUAGAUUAUCUCGUGAAUUCAUUUUGUUAGGAAUUAUCAUAUUUCUUGGAACUACUAGUUGAGCAGAACAAUUAGUUUCCAGCUUACUAUGCAUUAUAUACCAUGUUUGAUUAGUCAUCCAGCGGAAAAUACAUUGUAGAGCUUGCAUCUACUAAGCCUCGUUCGUUAUUGCUACCAUUCGCCUGUUUUCUAAACGUAGCUUUUAUGUUAUAGAGUGCGCCAGGCGGAUGGUGGAGUGCAUACAACACAUCAAUGGGGUUUAUUUGGCAACAAUAAAUUAAAAAGUAGUAUUAUUUUUUUUCGCUUCUUUGUAUUUUCCAAAGAAAAUGCCUUCGGCAUCUGGCAUAACUGCACCACAAGAUACCGAACAAUGACUAGUUGAUAAGAGCAUGAAAGUAGUCCCAUUGACACAUGGAACCACAUAGAAUCUUUGUUUAUAGAAACAAAAAAAGGCAACAGCAACAACAAUAACAACAACAACAACAAAGUGGAUAUAAAUUUCUUAUCUAAUCCAACUCUAGUUAUCCCUUAAUGAAAAUGGCAAAGUCGAUUAAAAUAGCCAAUGCAAACCAAAUAAAUUUCCAGUGACACUACUCGCACCGUGGGCAUACAAACAACAAACAUUUACUAUAAAAGUGAAUUGGAUCAAAUGAAAUAUCGAGUACCGAAUAUGACAUCAAACAUCAAGACUAAAUAUGAUGCUAGAGAGAACGCCGAGUCGUGAUUGUCCCAUCAUCUUCAUACACAAAAACUUUGUAGCAUUUUGAUAGAUAAUUCCUAUUUCCGAAAUUAAUGGAGGGGAAACACUGAAAGAUCCCUCCUUUACCAUUUCCAGUUAUUCCACAAUCGAUCAAAAGCAUAACAUGCUGAUAUAAUGACAAGAACAGAGACAGAGAGAGAGAGAGAGAGUUGCUCAUACUUGAGUCUUGAGGAGGUUCCUCCUAGCGAGAAAUCUAGCGAUCGGCGGCGUGAGGGCGAUCGUGAUCGGAACCCUAACAGGGAACAGGGCCUUGUUGCAGAGGAUCGCCAGAGCUAGGGCUCCGCCGCUCGACGCAGCGAGCUCCGCCGUCCUGUUCCUCUUCUUCCUCUGCUGCUCCCACUCCUCCCCCGUUGCGGCGCCGCCGGGCGCCGCCGAGUCGGAGCCGUCCAAGACGACGGCUGGGUCGGCGGCGCCGGGAUUAUCGCCGGCGACGGAGGAGAGGCCGACCCUCUGGAAGAUGCCCUCGACGUCGACGUUGUUCUUGAUGGCGACGUAUAGGCCGGUGAUGGAGGCGGCGGAGACGGAGAGGUGGACGCCGAGCGCCACCUUGCCGUACUUCUUCAUCAGCUCCUUCAUCCGCGCCGAGAACGCCAUUCUCCGACUGGAUUAGGGUUAGGGUUAGGAUUAGGGUUAGGGCUUCAACCGAGGCGAGGACGACGAAGGGUAGGGUUUUUGCUAGGGUUUAUGAAACCCUCGCCCUCUAAUGGGACUCAGAGGUAAACAACACCCAAGGGCGCGUUCGGUGUCGAGCGAUAUAGAAAAAUCUCCCUGAGAACCCGGUUCAUGAUUGCAACCGGUACACCCACUCAUUCCGUCCCUUCAUCAUUACUCAACCUUCGAUCAACACCGUGCAUUAAGGUAAAGCCUUUUCUUAAAAUUAAAAGAAGUAUGCACCGGGUGCAGGAAACAAUUCCUCAGCUAACGUUAUGAUCAAUCAGAACCGUUGGAUUGUUGAUGGGCGGACACUAUUGCUUCCCCAUCCUUUCGUUCAUGGAUUUUUUUUUUUUUUUGCAUUUAAGUCCCUCAUACAUCCAAAAUUACGCAAAACACCUUCUCUAUUUAUACUUGUAUCUCCGCUUCUUCUUCUUCUUCUUCAAUUGCCCUAAUAAGCCCUAAUGGAGGGAACCGAAGAUGCGGCCCAAACCCUAGACGAGGAGCUUCGAUCGCUCCUCCUCCCCGACCCACGAGAUCUCCCCCCAAUUCCCCCUUCCUCCGUGGAAUCCAAUUUCGCUCGUUACUUCGCCCCAGGUACUCCUAAAACCCUAGCAAAAUUCGAUCUGAUAGAAGCAAUUGGACCCGAAAACGAGAAACCCUAACCUUUUUUUCUGUUUUGGUACUCUUUGAUUUGUUUGCAAACCUUUUCACAGAUUUGUUAAAGCCCGGACAUGAUCAGUACGUCUAUCGCCACGCCAAUGGGUAGCUUAAAGCCUUAAACUUCCAAAGAUUGCAUUUUUGAUCGUUUUUUGUUGCAAUUUUGUGUUUUUUUUUUCUGGUUUGAUUGAUCUUUACUUGUGGUUUUGCGAUUGAAUUGUUAGUUUAUGUGUGAUUGGUUUGGCCCCGACCCACAUUGCAUUGAAGGAGGAAGGAGGGGUAACAGCUGUGGAUUUCAAUGUGGGGAAAUCGGAUCGGAGUGAGAUGAAGGUCACGGGAAAGCGUAAAAGGGUAUGUCAACUAGGGUUUGUUAACUUCAUUCCUCAACUAAUUGCUAGAAUUGAGUCCCUAAUCUUUCAAUGACGUUCCGCUCUUCGUCGUUCCAAUCUCAAUGAAAAGAUAUAUCUAGCCAUUUUAGCGGAGAAAUUACUAGUAAGUAGUAGCAUUGUAAAUGAAUGUGCAGAUUAGGGACUUAAAGGUAAAUCGAAAGUUUGAGGACAAGUGAAAUUAAGCUAAAAGGUUGAGGAUCCGUAGUGUUGGGUAAAUUGCUCUAUUUGUUCCUGAAUUUUAGUAAACUUCACUUUGGUCCUCGAACUUCCCAGUUUGAGAGUUGGCAUCCGAAACUUUUAGAGUUGUUCCACUUUAGUUUAGUCCUAACUCUCGCUUUCAGUUAGAGAAAAAUCAUUCUUUGCGCCUGGCGCAUCCAUAAAUCUACGAGCUGCAGUUCCAUCAGCUCUCCGUUCAUGUCAUUUUUCCAAUUUAACUACUUGAUUUCUGAGUAAUUAAAAGGCUGCGACUCUACUGGUCGCUGUGAUUGAAAUACAAGAUAAAUUCAAGGACCAAUGAAUAUGUCAUGUAUGGGACCUACGGCGUACCAAUUUAAGCAUUAACUGUUCUGAAGUGAAACACUUUCAAAAUCUCAGAGUUCGAAUGCCGGACUUGAAGUUCGAGAACUUAAUCCUGGGGGAGUAGUAGCACAGUUUACCCACAAGGACUGGAUAUUUUAGUUGAACGGCAAAAUUUCUAAAUCGUUAUUUUUGUGGAACAGAAUGCGCAGCACUUUGAAUCGAACACAGCCCUCUGUAAAGUUUGUGCAAAUGGUACAUUCUAUGUUGUGAGGUUUGUGUAACUGUGAGUUUCAGGUUGAUUCAGAUCAGUUACAUUAUGUCUGUCUUAAAUAGGAAAUGGUUGUGGUUAUUACCUUCGCAGGUGCUGUGUGAAAGGUUCUCUUUUGGAGGUCAACAAUCGGUUGAUUAAGCAACCCGACCUGCUUAACUCUUCUGUGAGUAUUGAUUCAUGCAUGUCACCUUUUUACGAUUAGAUAGUUCAUAGCAAUUUCGCUCUCAAACAAAAAUUGUAUAAAAAUAUAUUCAUUAACUACUGUCUAGCAUGUCAUCCUUAGCUAUUAUGGAAUCAACUUCGUGAUCCCUAAAUUGGAAAAGAUAGAGGCAGUUGACUAUUUUUCGCAAAAGAUUUAAACUCUAAAGGUAGUCAAAGUUCUUCAUUGACUGAAGAAUAUAACAAUUUCUGAUGUGCAGGCAGAUAGAGAAGGAUACAUAGCAAUAAUCAUGCCCAAACCAUCAGAUUGGCUUAAGAUCAAGGACUCGUUAUUGAGCUACGAAGAGUAUAACAAGUUGAGAGGGCUUUGCUGAUUCAUUGGUAAGUAUCUUCUGCAAACAUUUAUCAUCGCCGAAAUGAUAAAUGCUUGGAGACUGACAUUGAGCUUAUUGAUCUCGGACAAAUCAUUCUUUUGUUACAUUAUACUCUCCUAAAAAGCGCGAUACUUUUUAUAGCUCAACUUGGUUAUUAUAUGUUCUUUUCACUGCUUGAGGUACAAAUUCAUGCAUCACAUUGACCGCCCCUAAAGAAACAAUCCUUUUGCUCCUUUCCUCAUGAAUCACGCCACUGGGAUCUCCGAGCACAAAAUUUUUCAUUGUUCAUGCUACAAAUUCUCAAUAAUGUUUUCUUCCCAAAAUGUACAUCGAUUUUUGUUGAAAAAUUAACUAGAGUUUCUUUUUUGUUAGAGAGAAGAUAAGAGACAGUUCUUUAGGCAUGUAGCUGCUGGUGUUCUUAGAUGCAUUAUCUUUAUAUAGAAUCCAUUCGGUUGCUAUGGUGAACCUAAAAAUGCCGGUUUCCGCGCGGAAGCACUUGUCUAACUUUUUAAGGGCAUCUUGAUGCAGAAUUUUAGGGCAGUUUCUUGAAGUCAAACUGGAGAUCAGCAUCACGGUAGGAACUCGGCGGCGACUUUUACUCGCUGUCCUUCUUACCAUGUUGUAGGCUUUGGGUUUGGAGGUUGGGUGACAAUUGUUGCUGUUAUUUAUCCGAACACCGCAAAACUCGCGAGCAAGCAAUCUUCUGAUGCUGCAUAAGGAGGAUACCUUUCACCAGGCUCAUCAGCUAAAAUAACUCAAUGGUUCGACUUCCGAUUCAUCGUAAAGGCGAGGUGUACAAGAACAGUUUGUGUUGCCUAAUUAACAUUUAGGUGUUCUGUGUACUUCUAGAAAUAAGCUUUAUUUGCUUUGAAAACAUGAUGCUGAUUUUCAUGUUUUCAAACUGGAAAAUAAAUGACCUGAUGUUUCAUAAAUCCAUCUGUGUUGGUUCUGCCCUGUUAAUGCUUAGUUUGUGUUCUUUCCUCUGAACGAUUACUGUUAUUUGUUUUAAUUUGUUUCACAGAAAUAACAUCUUUCUGAGACUUAGAUAUUGUUAGAUUUUUCAGAAGCAGCUCUAAUUUGAAAUUUUUGUUUGAUAAAUUGAGCUCGAAACUGUGCUUGAACUCUAGUGCGUUGAUUAAACCAGUCGAAUUCGAGCAAGCUUGCGAGCUGAGAGCUUUUCUCACACCCUCAGAUCCGAUGCAGGGUAAACAUUAAAAUCACACCCACACUAGACUCAUGCAGGAUUGAAUUCCCUGCACCUACCAAUGUUGGGUUAAAGGAUGUUGGGACAAAAAUGGUAAAGAUAUGCUUCUUGAUUUAUGAUGGGGCAAAAAAAUUACAGAUCUUAAUCAAUCUCUUCAAAAGAUACUGACAUGGAAAUUAGAUGACAAUUCAUUUCUCUGUAAAUUGGAGAAAUUUAACCAAACGAAUUAAAUUGCUCCAAAAUGCAAAGGUUUAGGGACCCAACUAUAAUAACUGAAAAGUUGCAUACCAAAGUGAAACUAUGCCAAAGGGUUGCAAUUUACCACAAAAAAUUUUGCAUUAAUACAAAUAUAUUUUCAAACCAUGAUCCGUUUUACAUAUAAUUCUACUAAAGAAAUUCAAAAAUAGCAUCCACAGAGGGUAAAGCUCCAAAUCAUUUCGCAGAGCAUAUGACGUAGAGCGAAACUUCACCAUGUCUUAUUCCUCUUACUAUUGGCAUAAUAUCCUGCACGAUUCAAAGGAAUAAUAAAUAUAAUUUGUUGAAAUACAAAUAUUAGAAACGCUAUUCUUCAGCAGCAUAAGCUUUUAGAGAAAUUAAUUUUUUUUCACAUUAUUUAACAUGAUAUUAGAGCAGGAAGUCCUGAGUUCGAGUUCCACCAGGCUACUUUGCUUCACUUUAUUUCCGCCCGUUUAAUUAUUAGACAUAGGAGAAAGUAUUGAAAACACCGUUCUUACGCAAUUUUCUUGAUUAGUAAUCAUUUAGAUUGUUAGGUGUCGAGUUCGAUCUCGACAAGUUGAAUGUUUCCUUGAAGGGAAGAGGCCUUGCAUAGCGGCAUGAAGGAGAAACCAUCCAAAAUUUUCGAACACUUCAAGCCCCACUUUACCAUCAAGAAUUCAAUCAGAUGAUGCCCACUGUAGAAUGAAUGUCAAUUCAUUAAAAGAAAUUGCUGAUAACUUCGGUUACAAGAUGAAAUUAAAUAGCAGAGAGAUGAAAACCUUCGGUUUUGGUAUGUUGUUAUGAAGACUGCCCCAGGAGAACUUUGCAGGAGAAAAGCAACAGUGGCAAAGAGAUCGUCGAAAUCUUAUCAAACAAGGUUAACCUGAAUUUGAGCUGAGAAAAGUUGAUUAAAAAUAAAUUUAUAAUGAACUUAAGUAUUCAUAGUCCCACCAGUUGAAUCGUAGAAUACAUCAGCGCCGAGAACAAUACUGGGGUUCAAAUCGAAGAUAGGAUCGUCCCACUCUCCCCAGGUAAUUCCAAGUAUCUGCACCAUAACAGAAUGGUGAGGCGUAAGAGCAAGUCAACAGCUUGUAAGGCAGUAAAGAAAGGUUGGUUUUCUGGGCGGAAGUGUACUUUGCAGUUGACUUUGUUGAGAUUGCAUAUGCUUCUCAUGUUCUUCAUAACCUGCCAAUCAAAAAACCCAUACGAUUCAAAUUGCUUAAAGACCUAAAAAGAGCAGGAAAAAGCUACGUGCAACAAAGCCCCAAUACGCAAAGUGAGCUAAAUUCACCUAGAUCGAAAACUUUAAAUGUUAGAUCACUGAAAGACACCACCAGUGCACUGUAUAGACCCUUAUGGCUAAAUAAUAAAAUGAUUUUUUUUUUUUAAAUUUAGGGGAGAAGAAGAUAACUAUCCUCCUCAAGCAACAUAUUCUGGACAUAAAAUGAAUACCAACUUAGCUAAACCAUUCAGUGUCUAGAAUUGUUUCUGCGGUAAACUGCACUUGAGGUUCCAAACCUUUUGACAAGGUUUUAUUUAGUAUCUAACCUAUUAAUUGUUGCACUUUCAUUCCUAACCUUUCAUAUUUGUUGCAAUCUUUGAUCCUUCGUUAAAAUUUUUUAUUAAAUCGCAGAGAACAAAAUUGCUUCUUCCUUAAGUAUGUAUGCGUCCUGACAACUAUUCUUCAAUAGCGGAGACAAUAGGAGGUUGUGGAUCCAAUGAUUUGGGUUUUUCACUUAGACCUGGAGAGCAGUGGGAGCAGCUUUUAGAUAGAAGAGGCUGUUCAAUUAAUCAGGAUUUCAAAGAAAAUGAUUUGACUGCAGCAAACAAUAAAGGCCACGGACCCAAAUGUAGUAAUUGAAACGUUGUGGAACAAAAUGAAGCCUUGUGAGAAGGUUGAGGAUCCCCUGGUGCAAAGAACAAGACAAAGACCUCACCUCUUUGUCCUCUGACUUAUCUGUUAGCACAACAUUUGCUCCAACUUUAGCAGCUACUAACCCAGGCAAUGAGGUUCCAGCACCAAGCUGCAGGUUAGGGGGAUAAAGGAUAAAAAAAGCUAGGUCUAUCAUCAUCAGUCAAACUACGUAUUCAUUCUUAUUAAAUACUACAAAAAUUGACAUACGUCAAAUUACAGAUGUAUUGUUUAUGAUAUCAGUGUUUCCACGUUGUUAUACACUGGAAUGGAGAGCAAAAUAGUCUGCCCACAAAUAAAGGGAAAAACGAUGAGAAAAGAAACUCAAUAAAUGAAUAAAAUUACAUAAAUGAGUCAGAAUGCUUUCAGUAAGUUCUGAGGAACUCAAUACUUUAACUUUUUCAUUUGCCGGAUAUGCAUUAAAAUCCGCAGAUCACUCCAAGAGAUCUGUCCUUGUGAUGCGUAUCAAAAUUCCCUCUCAUCAGGCACACGUAUGUAUUGCACUGCUCAUCCGAUACGAAAAAAUGUGGAAGCAUGGGAUCUUCAAUACUUCUAAAAGUGUUCUAGGUCAAGUCUUUCUCUAUGUAAUAUACGAUAGAUAAUCAAGAUAGUUGUAUUUGCCUAUCAUAGAGCCUGUUUGGCCUUGCGAUUGCGCCCACAUUUGUUGUGUGCAACCGUAAGCCAAGGCUUUUUGAGAGGCCCCAAUUUCAGACCUUUCUCAAAAAGCUCUGCAGGUAGCACCACUGAGUCAAACAGGCCCACAUUCUACAAAGGAAAAGGAAGAAAACUUGUGACCCAGAUGAUAUUCCAUUCUUCUAAAGUCUUACAGGUUAAGCUGGCUAAAUACCAAUGGUCGAACAAAUAGAAAAUGACGUUCAAGAACCAAUAAAAUAAACACCAGUCUGGCUAGUAUUUUCAAUUGCGCCCUAUGAAACUAUACUACAAAUGCUAUAAGCCAACUGUGUAGUAACAUAUGAUCUUAAAUAUUAUACAGUAUGUUCAAUUACUCUACCAUCUAUCUAUAAACUACUAUUAAUCCCCAUGGCCUUAUGCUGAUGUGGCCUAACCCCCUUAAUUUUAUAAUUAUUUUUAAAAAAAUUGACUAGAUUCUUUUUUUUUCUUUUUGUUUUGGGGAAAGAUGGACAGUCAUCUCUUUACAUUUGGGCGUAUGUGCCCCACCGAGAAGAUGGACCGUCAUCUCUUUAAUUUAGGAGUGUGCGCCCCACCGAGAAAAUGGACCGUCAUCUCUGUCUUUUUUUUUUCCUUUUACUAUACCUCUCUCUUUAUUUCUCUCUUCUUCUUCAUGUUAUCGUUCUUUUUUUAGUUUUUUGGAUUUUGUUCUCACGUGCUUUCAUUUUCUUUCUUUGAUCAGGGUCUUGAGCUCUCCAUACCUACAACACCUGCCAUCCUCUACCCACGUACAUGUAUGUUUAUUUUCUUUUUCUCUCUUUUUAUUUAAUUAUUAAACAAAAAAUACAUUAUUAUAGUGGUUUGAGUUUUUUUAGGGAAAAAAAAAACUCUUUUCUCAACCACAAAAAAGAAAUGCUUUGAAAACUCUUAUAUUGAUUGUAAUAUAUAAUCUACUUAGGAAUGCAAACGGGGUGGAUCUGGGGGCGGGAGGGUUCCCCCACCUUCCGCUCCAUUUUUUGUUGGGGUGGGGCGGAUUCAGAACGGAUUAUUUUUUUUUUUAUUUUUGGCUCCCACUUACCGCCCAUUCACGGCGAAUCAGGGCAGGAGCAGAUUUUUUGACGGAUCGGGGCGGAUUUAAGGAAGAAAAGGGUCUCCCGCCUCCCGCUCCAUUUACUUGGCGGAUCGGGACGGAUUCGGAGCGGGUUAUAUUUUUCUAUAUUUUUUGUUCCGACUUACCACCCUAUUCGGGUGGAUCGGGGCGAGAGCUCCACCAACCUAGAUCCAUUUGCAUCCCUAAAUCUACUUUAUUCACAAUAAAUAAGCUAUAUUAUUUCAUCAACAGUAUAUAAAAGCAAUAUUCCCCACCGAUCUUUUUAAUUACUUUUUCUCAAAUUGACUGGAUUUUUUUCCCCUUUUUUCUCCAUUUUUUUUUUUGUUGACUGAAGAUGGACUGUCAUCGUUAUGAAUGCUACCCGUUGUCCAAUGCUUUGUCGUUUCGCCAUUUCUUCUACCAAUGAAUGCUGCCCAUGGUUUAAAUAUGGACUAAAUUUAUACAUCAAGUAAAAAUAUUAAUUUUUUUCUUACAUUUUAGUAGAUUACGUAUCUUUAGUUUUACAAUAGCAUCUACUCACUAUAAAGUUCGUGUCAUUGUACUAUAUCUGCUAAAUAGAUGUGAAAAUGAUAUGUCUCUAAUCCCUUCUCUUUUUUAUAAUAUUGUACAACAUUAUUUCAAAUUCUCGCUUCAUUAAUAUAUACCCGCUGCAACACGCGGGCCACUACAUUAGUAAGCAUGAAGAGUAAAAUGAAGUAAUGUUCAUGUAUAGAGUAAGCUCAAUCCGCAAAAUGACCCAAAGGAAACUAACAAUGAUAUUGGUGUGAUUAUAGCUGAGGUCACAAGCGUGAGAAUCAAUUACAAUUUUAAACAUGUGGAAAAUUUACGAUACCUCAACCACAGUGCUUCCUGAAAAUCUUAAUCUCUGCUGCCACACAUACUCAGCAAGAAUGAUGCUACAAGGCCAGACAAACAUUCCAUAGUCUUCUUGCAUGUUCUGUUGAUACAAAUAUGUAUCAUCACAUAGAAUGACAGGACACCAAAGUGGAGGGUAUGCAGACACGAAGUAUGGAAUGCAUCAACAUGAAAAAAAAUAUAAAAAAAGAAAAUAGUAAAAGUUCACAUCUAAGUGGCUAGAAGACCAUAGUUUAGCCUUAAAAAGCAAGAAAUCUCAUGAAGAUAACAUGCCCCUAUCAUGGAGGCAAAAAAUGGAAGAAACUAAUUCUCUUUGUUAUGUACGGAAUACCUGGUCGCAAUUCACUUCAGAAACAAAUUUAUGAAGUGUGAUUAGACUAAUCUAUAACGAGGUUGAUGAUAUUUGGUUGCAAUAACUCAAGCAUAUAAAGUUCUGACAACUUAAUGUUCUUUUUGUUUAUAUCAUGUUACAUACGAUUCCUAAUUUUCAAUAUAAUAACACCUACAAUUCCAGAUGGGAUCCAUUUAUACACUUUAUAAAAUCCACUCUUUGGUCUAACACCCAAAAGGAAAACACAUUUGAACAUCUUAACACACCAAGGUCCACACCAAGGGUCUAUUUAAAAUGCAUGAAUAUCUUACCCUCCAUACAUCCUUUGUUCACACAAAAGGCGUGUGGUAGUCAGUUGAUGGGAGUAUGAAAAUAUGCCUGCAACAGCAUCAUAUAUAUUGCUUCUAAAUCAUUUUAACUUGGAAUUUUAUAUAUCUCAUCACAGGUAGAAAGAUUUGUUUCCAAAGAAAGAUUAUUAUGCAGACCAUGCAAUGGACUAAAUCAUGUGUUGCAAUCACAAGAAAAGGAAGUGGCUAAUCACAUAGGCUUAAGCACCUCGGUUAACUUAUUUUUGACAUCCGAACAGGCCCUUGCUUAUAAAAGAACCAUUUUAAAGCUUUAAUUUUACUAUUAUUGUUAAAGAAUAUGAAACGACCAUUAUUCUCCACAAGCUUAAGUUACCAGAGAACAGUGUUUUUAGUAUUUUAUAUUCAAUACUCCCCCUCACGUCUGGACUCGAGAUAUUUUGAUAGGCUCAAGAUGUGGAUUUAAAUCAAAUUGAAAGAAAUUAAUAAUAUUAGGAGUCUGGUGGGACUCGGAACUUUACAAAUCAUGCUCAGAUACUAUGUUAAAGAAUAUGAAGCGGCCAUUAUUCUCCAAGAGCUGAAGCUACCAAAGACCGGUAAUUUUAAUAUGUUGUAUUCAACAAAUAUAACGCUUCUCAAUCUUUAAUCAUAUCAAGGCAUUUUGUCGGGGAACAGUAAGCAAAAAAAGAAAAAGAAAAUUAUAAGUGGUGACACUUCCAAGAGUUUAAAGUUUAAACCUUUUCUACAUAUGCAUCUAAGAAGUUAAACGCCAAAUAACAACUCUCGUACCAAAAACACUAAACUAUUACAAUUAACUUCCUUCUUAAGCAUUCCAUCGAACACGUUAUAGCCAUCUCGUUAAUAGAGCUUAAACCCUUCUACAUAUGCAUCUAAGAAGUUAAACACUAAAUAGCUCUUCUCAUACCAAAACUUUAACAUCCCUCUUAAGCAUUUCAUCGAACACCUUAUGACCGUCUCCGCAAACACACCACCAUUUGAAUCAUUAUGAGAGAGAGAGAGAGAGAGAGAGAGGGUUUCGAGUGGGUGACCUCGAUGAUGUCGACAUAGAACUCGUGGUCCUCGUCGGAGGAGGCGCCGCCGAAGAAGUGGCGGGAUAUGGUGGUCAUGGAGGAGGAGCCGCCGCCGCCUCCGCCGGUGGCGGCGGGGCUCCGGUGCGCCGCCGAUGGCGGCCGCGGCGGCGACGCGGCGUCGUCCAUAAAACGAACGCAACCGUCGGAAGGGGAAAAUGGGCUGAGCCCCUCAAGUAAGCCAAUUUUGAAUUUUCCCCCUCUCAACUCAAGAAACUUCUAAUUUUUGUGAAGGGUAAAUUGCACGUUCGGUCCUCAAACUAUAAGAUGUCUGACAAUCGAUCCUCAAACCGUAAUAAACUUAUUUAUUAUAAUUUUGGAUAAAUUACAUCGUUCGGACCUCCAACUAUGACUUAAAUAAUACUUUGAUCCUCAAAUUUUAUUUUUUUUUAUAAUUUACUGGUUGAAUUUUUAAAAUUAUUACAAUUAAAUUUUAUGGACUGAAUAUAAUUUUUCAAACAAAAAGAUGACUUAUAUUAUUUUUACAACAAUUUUAAUUAUACAAUCUAAUAUAUUUUUUAAACAAAAUAAAAUGAAAAAAAUUAAUGGAGAUGCGGGGUAUCGAUCCCCGUACCUCUCGCAUGCUAAGCGAGCGCUCUACCAUCUGAGCUACAUCCCCAUUUUAUGAUAAAAUAUAUAUUAUAAAUAUAUAUAUAUAUUGAUUGAAUAAUAUGAUUUAAUAGAUGGAAAUAGUUAAAAGAAUAAAUCUAACUAUCGAAAACUUAUAAGUAUAAAGUGGCCUAACUUAUAAGAGUGUAAUGGCCGAACUAUAUAUAUAUAUAUAUAUCUCUGAAGCUGGUAUACUUCUAGAAGCUUUCGAGUCAUUUUCGAUGUUGAGACUUUCAAAUCGACGAUCAGCUUCAUUAGACUUAAUCUAGAGUACUUGAAAUAUUUAAAAAAUAAAUUUCGUGAUUUUUCGAUAUCAUUUGCCUAGUGAUCGAAAUGAUCAAAAAUCAAUAAUUUUAAUAGUCGCAGCGAGCCGUUUGUAAGUUUAACGGUGUAGAAAUAUUCAAAUAAUAUGAAAUUUUGAUAAAAACUUUUUUAUACUAUAUAAAAUAAGAUCAAUAUCUUUGAUCUAAAAUUUUAAUAUCAUAUCAUCAUAUUUUGUAACAUUUUUAUUAUCAGUCGUUGAUUUUGAGUCAUUUCGAUGACUAGGCAAAUGAUAUCAAAAAAUUACGAAAUUUAUUUUCUAGGUACUUCAAAUACUCUAAAUCAAGUUUAACAGAAUCGAUUAUUGAUUCGAAAACCCUAACAUUGAAAAUAACUUAAAAGUACGGAAGAUUUUAUGCUUCCAGAAGCAUAAAAAAGGCCAAACGGAAAACAUGUGGUUAAAAAAAAAAAAAAAAAAAAAAAAAAAAAAAAAAAAAAGUUGAAGGAUUGUUUCACGUGGUGCCAAACAAUCCCUAGUAUGGCACACGUGCAAUAAAGACAAAAGUAAUGCGUACGUGUUUGAAAAAUUCGCUCCAAGAGGCGUUGAUCGCCACCCUUAUUCACAUAUCAUUAAGGAAAAAUUAAAGCUUAAUUAUAUUAAAAAAAAAGGGCAAACUUUAAAUAUCACCCCUACGAUUUCACACUUUCUCACUUUACUAUUCUGUGAUUUAAAGUGUAUCAGUUUAGUAUCCUCUGGUUUCAUUUUUCUCUUUUCGUCAGCUUCUCUGUUAACAUUUUGUUAAAUUAUAUACAAAAAACUUCAGAUACCCUACUUAAAUUUAUCGAAUAUUCACUUUAGUACCCUUUCAUUUUAACUUUGUCACUGACUUAAUGAAAAAUAUAGUGAAAGGGAUUAUAAAAAGAGAAAAAUAAAACUACGGGGUAGUACAUCGAUACAUUUUAAACCACAGAGUACCAAUGUGAGAAAGUGUGAACCGCAUGGAUGGUAUUUGAAGUUCUUUCUUAAAAAAAAUUAAAGUCAAAUCUCAAGUCAAAUUGUGAGAUGAUGCCCCCUUUAACAAUAAAAUUUGAUUAAAUUACAAUAAAAUUUCUUAUAAAUACUCUUUUUUUUUAUUUUUUCUUUCUAACUUUCAAAAAUCUAUAUUUUACCCCCCAAAUAUUUUAAGUUAUUGUAUUUAAUCCCUAUCCGUCAGGGUUAUAUCAUUAUUCCAUUCAUUUCUCAUAAUUUACAUAAAAAUAUCCUUCAAAAUUACAGAAAUAUAUUAAAAAUUAUUUUUCUUAUAAAAUAAGUAAGAGUAAUUUGGUCACUUUAAAUCUCCAUUAAUCCCGUACUCUCCUGAAAAUAUUUUUAAAAUUUUAAUGGGGCAAAAUAUAGUUUUGAAAGUCAGAGAGAAAAAGUAAAAAAAUAUAUAUAUUUAUAAAAAAAAAAUUAUGUAGUUUAGCCAUAAAAUCUUAUCAUAAAAAAAUAUAUAAGUCAUUAAAUAGCUAAACAUAAUUUAAUGAACCACGGAAUAGGCAUGAAAAAUGGGCUAUACCAUAGUAGGACAAAUUAACGUGGAUGCUAAGUCUACACCUAAGAGGGGCAUCGAAUGGAUUUAGUGUUAUGCCCUUAACAAUUCCACAUUGGAUGGAUAAGGAAUAACUCGACUUAAAUAUUUUGAGCCAAUAAUUUCGAUCCAACGAGUUAUUAUUGCUAAUGGGUCAAAUCGUUACAUUUGGUAACAGAACUGAAUAUCAGCGAAAAUAUGAGAAUUAAUGCUACAUCACAAGGUUGGUGGAAGCUAACCAUCUCUAGAAUCCUAUAUCGUCUGCUAAUUUUAGUUUAUGUGAGUGAAACGGAUGUAUCUUAUCAUUUUUUAACUAAAAAUCAAUAAAAAUGUGAUAAAUUCUAACCCUUGGAUUGUAAAGAUUACAACAUCCCAAUUAAGAUUGCAAACUAAGCAUAUCUCAACUUUAAUUGGGCAACUCUCUGGGUUGUAAUCUUACAAUUUUGCCCAUUUAAGGACCAAAUUUUAUUACACUAGUUUUAUCUUCUUCUUCUCUCUCUCUUUUUUUUUUUUUUUUUUUUUUUUUUUAAGCUAAAAGCCAAAAAGGGGUGGAUAAACCCUUGUAGGAAUGCAUGCCCCAUCAAUUCUAUUUUUUCCAUUUGAAUUUUUUUUUCACUCAGUUGCAUUAAAAAUUUACUAAAUUUGGUAAAAUCAUCAAUAAAUUAGAAAAAUUCCUAAUUUUUAACUAAAAUUAUGUGAUUUUCUAAAUUAGAAGUUACAGCAUCUCACUCAGAAAAAUAAAAGUUGAGGGGCCUAUUUCAGAAAACCCCAUAGUUGUGUGGGUCUCCAUGCAUUUUUCACCUUAAAAAAAAAAAAAAAAAAAAGAAGCUCAUCAACCAGAACCCAUUCCACCAAGGCAAGCUCAUUUAAUUAGCCACACCUUCCCUUGUAUAUAUCUUCAUCAAUAUAAAGGAAAGACCUUGGAAACUUAUAUAACUAUUCAAACCCUAGCUUCCUCCUUUGACCAAACCCAUUCUCUUCUCCACACAUAUUUAUUAUCAUAUAUCUGUGUUACUUAUAUAUAUUUAUAUAUAUAUAUAUAUAUAGCUUUUCUCUACCCAUCUAGUAUUUGGUUCUUCAUGUUAGAUGUAGAAAAACAUAUGUACUAGAUCAUAUACAAUAAAACCAAUAUAUAGAGCUGCUUUUGAUAUAUAUAUAUAUAUAUCAUGGAGAAAGCAGCUGGUGAUCACCACAGAUCCAAAAACUCCGGCUUCCUCCGCUUCCUCGCGAAGUCGACGUCGUUCUCGAUCCCCCGUCACCAUCUCUACAACCCCCCGCGCGAGAGGAGCUACUUCAACAAAGCCUUCUCGGGCCCGAUCGUGUCGAUAAUCCCCGCCGAGGCCCGGUACAAGGAGGAGAGAUCUACCGUCGACGGCGAAGAGCCCCUCUCCCCGAAGGUCUCGUGCAUCGGCCGGAUCAAGGGGAAGAAGAGGUCGUCCGAGCCCAAAAGGCCGCCACCGUCGUCGGUGCAACAACAACAACAACAACAACAAAAGAAGAAGAAGAAGAAGCAGCAUGCGUACUUUUCAUUCCGCGGUAAUACUAAAUAGCGUGCAAUUAAAGAUAUCUUUUAAGUAUCGUAGCACGAGAUCAUCUUAAAAAUUUAUAGGCAAUAUACGAUAUACGAUACGGUGCGUGCCAAACCGUGCGAUGAGUGCCUAGAUGCGCACGUGUCGAUAUAUAACGGCAUGAAAGUUUGAUUUUUUUUAGAAACAAAUUAAAUUUUAUUAAAAAAAUUACUUACUAAUUUAAAAAAAAAAAGAAUUUCGAGCUGUGUCAUCGGUAUGAGAGUUAUAUUAUACCGAUAUCUUAUUGACACGAUACAAUACGAUAAAAGUGGCUCAUGCUGAUGGGCAAUUAAAUCUUACGGCAACUGCUUUUCUGCUUUUAAUAGUUUGUAUUUAUAUUCAGCAGGUAAGGCUGUAGAGGAGAGAGCUGACGAGAAGGGACGGCGGUCGGGGGCGGCGGUCGAGGGUGGCGGUGGCGCUCCGCGGAUAGGGGAGAUGAGGCGGUUCGCGAGCGGGAGGGAGACGAUCGCCGAUUUCGAUUGGAAGAAGGGGGAGAGUAGUGCAUAUGAUGAUCACGAGGUGAUUAUCGCGUACUCGGCGCCGUUGACGGUCGGCGGAGCCGAUUGGGCGGUGGCGCCGGAGCCGAGGAAGGAGGUGAAUAUAUGGAAGAGGAGGACCAUGGCCCCACCAAGGCCUCUUCAAGUGUGAAUGUACAUGUAUGAAUGGGUAUGAAUGGGUUGGAGAAACAUUAAUUUGUUUAUUCCUUUUUUUUUAUUUUUCAUGAAAUUGUUUUAGUAAUUUUUCUAUGCAUUAAUUUGUUGACCAUUUGACCCUGCUUAAUUACUUCUCUUUAUUUUUAUUUAUUUUAUUUUAUUUUAUACUUUUCCUCUAAGAUUAAAUUUACCACGAGUCAAAUUCGGCAGCUUAAAUUUUAAUUUUUUAAAUAUAUAAAAAAAGCCAAAAUUAAGAUAAAUUUGAAGAUUUUUCGUUGACCGCGCGGGCCCCACUUGUUAUGACGUGGCACUGCCAUAGCUGCUCCCGCCUUAUAAUCCAAAAUCACCGUACACGUGUCCUCAUUCCUGGCGCUACAAACAGAUCACCGUACGUUUGCUAGUGAAGCUCUUAAAUAUAUUAUUAGUUUUAAAAUUAUUUAUUUUAUAUUUUAUCAAAAUUUUUAAAAAAGUGAAAAAGAGCUAUCUAGUAUUAUUAAUACAUUAAAACAUUCAAAUCACAUCUUAUAUUAUUUGCAUAAAUUAAGUGAAGUGAGGAAUUCGACGCAAUGCUUUAUUUCUAUCCCAAUUGAUCUAAUUCUUUUUUUUAUCGUUAAAGUGUAGAACUGAACUAAGAAACUAUUUUUUGCUACUUUUAAGGGAAAAAAAAAAAAAGGUUAUGUUGCAUAGUUUUAUUUUUUGAAAAAUUUUAAAACUAACAAUUUCAAUAAAAUCUAUCAAUUUUUUAUUUUACCGGUAAAUAUUUAAUCGAUUUAUUGCGAUAUUCAGAAUUAUGAAACAAAUAAACAUGAACGUACGUGGUACAAUUUAUUAUAUUCAAUAGUAAAUAUUUUAAAUUAAAGUCAAACAUUGAUCGAUGUGUGAUAUUAAUGUCCAAACUCUAAGAGUUUUUUAUGUAUAGGCAACUUAAAUACUAUAUAUAUACAGAGAGAGAGAGAGUGAGAGAGAGUCCGGCUACUAUACUAUCGGUAGCACCGAGGGCUUCAUGCUACCAAGUUGUUUUCGAUGAUGCGGCUUUCAAAUCGACGAUCGGCUCCGUUAGACUUGAUCUACACUAUUGAAAAUAUUUGGAAACUAAAUUUUAGAUUUUUUUUGACAUCAUUUAACUAGUGAUCAAAAGAUCUCAAAAUUGACAAUUUUAAUAGCUGAUGUGGUGUGUUUGUAAGUUUAACGGUGUAAAACAAUCCAAAUUCGAUGAAAAUUUUUUAGAAAAUUUUUUUCACUAUUUAGAGUAAGAUCAGUAUAUCUGACCUUGAAUUUAAAUCUUUUAUCAUCAUUUUUUAUGAGAUUUUUAUUUUCAGCCGUUCAAUUUUAAACUACUUGUUUGAUAGGUAAAUGAUAUCGAAAAAUUAUGAAAUUUAGUUUCUAAAUACUUUUAAUAGUAUAGAUCAAGUCUAACGGAGCCGAUCGUCGAUUUGAAAGCCGCAUCAUCGAAAACAACUUGGUAGCAUGAAGCCCUCGGUGCUACCGAUAGUAUAGUAGCCGGACUCUCUCUCACUCUCUCUCUCUCUGUAUAUAUAUAGUAUUUAAGUUGCCUAUACAUAAAAAACUCUUAGAGUUUGGACAUUAAUAUCACACAUCGAUCAAUGUUUGACUUUAAUUUAAAAUAUUUACUAUUGAAUAUAAUAAAUUGUACCACGUACGUUCAUGUUUAUUUGUUUCAUAAUUCUGAAUAUCGCAAUAAAUCGAUUAAAUAUUUACCGGUAAAAUAAAAAAUUGAUAGAUUUUAUUGAAAUUGUUAGUUUUAAAAUUUUUCAAAAAAUAAAACUAUGCAACAUAACCUUUUUUUUUUUUUCCCUUAAAAGUAGCAAAAAAUAGUUUCUUAGUUCAGUUCUACACUUUAACGAUAAAAAAAAGAAUUAGAUCAAUUGGGAUAGAAAUAAAGCAUUGCGUCGAAUUCCUCACUUCACUUAAUUUAUGCAAAUAAUAUAAGAUGUUAUUUGAAUGUUUUAAUGUAUUAAUAAUAAUACUAGAUAGCACUUUUUCACUUUUUUUUAAAUUUUGAUAAAAUAUAAAAUAAAUAAUUUUAAAACUAAUAAUAUAUUUAAGAGCUUCACUAGCAAACGUACGGUGAUCUGUUUGUAGCGCCAGGAAUGAGGACACGUGUACGGUGAUUUUGGAUUAUAAGGCGGGAGCAGCUGUGGCAGUGCCACGUCAUAACAAGUGGGGCCCGCGCGGUCAACGAAAAAUCUUCAAAUUUACCUUAAUUUUGGCUUUUUUUUAUAUAUUUAAAAAAUUAAAAUUUAAGCUGCCGAAUUUGACUCGUGGUAAAUUUAAUCUAGGAGGAAAAGUAUAAAAUAAAAUAAAAUAAAUAAAAAUAAAGAGAAGUAAUUAAGCAGGGUCAAAUGGUCAACAAAUUAAUGCAUAGAAAAAUUACUAAAACAAUUUCAUGAAAAAUAAAAAAAAAGGAAUAAACAAAUUAAUGUUUCUCCAACCCAUUCAUACCCAUUCAUACAUGUACAUUCACACUUGAAGAGGCCUUGGUGGGGCCAUGGUCCUCCUCUUCCAUAUAUUCACCUCCUUCCUCGGCUCCGGCGCCACCGCCCAAUCGGCNNNNNNNNNNNNNNNNNNNNNNNNNAGUAAAAUGAGAUUAAGUUUUCUUCAUUAGUAGAAUUACGCUAUCUUUAGUUUUCAAUAGCAUGCCUAGCUCACUUCAAGUUAGUGUCAUUGUCUACGAUAUUGCUAAAAACGUAAUAUGUGCGGACACGACUUUGAAAGAUAUGUCUUAAUCUUCUCUUUUUUAUAUAUGUACAAAGAUUAUUUCUUACAAUUCAUGCCCUUCAUUAAUUUACCCGCUGCAAACGGCGGGCCACCUUACCAUUAGUAAGCGGCAUGAAAGAUAAAUGAAGAUAAGUUCAAUGUAUAGGUAAGUCAAUCGCGCAAAAUGACCAAAGGAACUAACCAAUGUAUUUGUGUGAUAUAGCUGAGGUCCAAGGUUCGAGAAUCAUAUUACAAUUUUAAAUCCUGUGGAAAAUUAUUACGUACCUCAACACAGUUGUUUCCUGGAAGAUUAAUCUCUGCUGAACACUACUCAGCAAGCAUGGAUGCGUCAAUGCCAGAACAACAUUCCAUAGUCUCUGCAUGUUUCUGUUUGAUACAAAUAUGUUCAUCACACGCCUAGAAUGGACAGGACACCAAAGUGGAGGGUAUGCAGCACGAAGGUAUGGAAGUGCAUCAACAUAGGAAAAAAUAUAAAAAAGAAAAUCAGUAAAAGUUCACAUCUGAGGGUGGAUGAAGACCAUAGUUUGCCUAAAAGCCAAGAAUCUUCAUUGAAGAUUAACAUGCCUAUUCAUGGAGGCAAAAAAUGGAGACACCUAAUUCCUUUGUUAUGUAAGGAAUACGGCCACUCUUCUGGAGUCGCAAUUCACUACGAAAGCAAAUUAUGAAGCGGCUGUGAUUGACUAAUCGUAUACCAGGACCGCGCUUGAUGAUAUAUUGGCUGCAAUAAAUCACAGACAUAUAAAGUCUGACAAUUACAUGUUCUUUAUUGUUAUAUCAUGUUACAUCACGCUUCCUAAUUUUCAAAUAUAAUAACACUCGAAUUCCAGAAUGAGACUCCAUUAUACACUUUGUGAACAAUCCCUCUUUGGUCCUACCCAAAAGGAAGAACACAUCUGAAAAUCUUAACACACCAAGGCCACGAACCAGGGUCUAUUUAAACUGCAUGAUAUCUUACCCUCAGUCAUACCCUUUUGUUCACAAAAUAGGCGUGAGAUAGUGGUUAGUAGGUUGGAUGGCGAGUGAUGAAAUAUGGCUGCAACAGAUCAGUAUAUAUUGCCUUCUAAAUCAUUUUUAAUUGGAAUUGUAUAUUAUCUUCACAAGGUAGAUAAGAUUUGUUUCCAAAGAAGAUUAAUGUGCAGGACCAAUGAAAUGGGCUAAUCAGGGCAGCGAGAGUGGUUGUGAUGCAAUCCACGCAAGAAAAGGAAGUGGUAAUCACAUAAGCUUAAGACCUUCGGUUACUUUGGUUUUGACAUGCCGAAACGGGCCUUGCUUAUAAAAGAACCAUCUUUAAGUUUAAUUUACUAUCUUGGUGUUAACUAAAAGAAUAUGAACGCAUUAUUUCCACAGCAAUUAACGUUACACGAGAACAGGUUUUUAUGUGAUUAUAUUAAUCUCCCCGCUCACCGCUAUGGACUCGAGAUAUCGUUGAUAGGCUUCAAGAUUGUGGUAUUUAAUCAAUUUGAAAGAAAUUAAUAAUAUGUAGGGAGAGUCUGGUCGGAUCGGGAACACAAAUCUAUGCUCAAUAUAUUGUAUGUUAGAAUAUGAUAUCGCGGCCCAUUAGUUCUCAAGAGCUGGAAGUCAUAACAGACGGUAAGUUUCUAAUUAUGUGUAUUCAACAAAGUAUAACCUUCUCAAUCUUUAUCACUAUCAAGGCAUUUUCAGGGUUACCCGACGAUACGGGGUGAACAGUAAGCAAAAAAGAAGAAAAUUAAUAAGUGGUGACAACUAUCUCAACGAGUUUAAGUUUAACCUUCGGUCUACAUCAGAUUCUAAGACGGUUAAAGCCAGAAAUCAACAAACUCUCGCUACCAAAAACACAACUAUUACAUUUAACUGAUCUAAAGCAUUCCAUAACACGGUAUAGCCAUCUCGAGUAGGUAAUAAGAGCUUAACGACUCCUUCAAUCACCAUAUGCUAUUAAGACCUUUAUAAACAUCACAACGAUUAGCUCUUCUAUGAUACAAAACUUCUAAAAUCCUCUUAAGCAUUUUCCAUCCGAACACUGUUGCCCGCGAGUCGUCCGCACAAUCAGCGAACCCUCACAUUUGAAAUCUUCAAUCCGAUCCUGAGAGUGCUCCGGCGUGAUGAGAGCAGCGCCGCCGCAAUUCCUCGGAGCGGAGGCGCUUAUGCCGUGCGCCCUCUCUCUGUGACCUCAACGCCCUGCUUACUGAUGUCGUUUACCUUAUCUCAAUCUUCUGCUAGAUUUACUUUCCGUGUUUGCAAGGUCUGUCGGGCGAGGGCGGCCGCGAAGACCAGUGAGAAAUGGCGAGGGAAUACCCUUAAUGAAGUGAGUCCAUGGGAAGAAGGAGCCGCCGGCGCGCAACCGCCUCCGCCGGUGGCGGCGGACGGCUCGGUGCGCCGCGAAUGGCGCGGCGCGGCCCGAGCGGGGGCGAACCUGGCGUCGGUCCAUAACGAACGCGAACAGUCCGGAGUGGAAAAUGGGAUCCUGAAGCCAUCAAGCUUAAGCCAAUUAUUGAUUUCUCCUCCUCUCAAAUCGAAGAAAUUCUAUUUUGGUGAGGGUAAAAUUGCGCCGUUCGCGCGGUCUCAAAACUAAGAUGUCAUGCAUCGAUAUCCUUUCAAACCGUAUAAAUUUAAUAUUAUUUAAUUUUCGGGAUCACCGAUUACAUCGUUCGACCUCCGUAAAAAACUCAUGACUUAAAUCAAUUCUUUAUCCUCAAUCUUUAAUUUUUUAUUUAAAUAUUACGCUUCGGCCGCCAUUUAAAUUUUAAAUUAAAUUUUAUUGGACUGAACUUAAUUUUUCACAACAAAAGAUGCUUAUAUUAUUUUUACAACAAUUUUUAAUUUAUACAUCUAAUUAUAUUUUUAACAAAAUAAAUGAAAAAUUAUAUGGAGAUGCAGGGUAUCGAUCCGUACCUCUGCAUGCCUAAGCGAGCGCUCUACCAUCUGGAGCUAUCCAUUUUUGAUAAAAUAUAUAUUAUCAAUUACUAUAUAUAUAUUGAUUGCAACUAUAUGAUUUAAUGAUGAAUAGUUAAAGAAUAAAUUAAAGCACGUCGAAACUGUAUAGGUAUAAAGUGGCCCUAAUUAUAGAUUGUAAAUGGCCGAAUAUAUAUAAUUAUAUAUAUCUCUGAAGGACUGGUAUAAUUCUUAUGAAGCUUUCGGUCAUUUCCGAUGUUGAGACUUUCAAGAUGACGAUCAGCUUCAUUAGAACUUAAUCUAGAACGUACUGAAAUAUUAAAAAAUAUUUAUUUCGUGAUUUUCGAUAUCAUUUGCUAGUGUCGAAUAUCAAAAUUCAAUUAUAUUUUUAUAGUCGCAGCGCAGCCGGUUUGUAGUUAACGGUGCUAGAAUAUUCAAAUAAUAACUGAAAUUUUUGAUAAAACUUUUUUAUACUAUAUAAAUAAGAUCAGAUAUUCUUUGAUCUAAAUUUUUAAUAUCAUAUCAUCAUAUUUGUAACAUUUUUAUUAUCAGUUCGUUGAUUUUGAAUAUUUCGAUUGAUAGGCAAAUGAUAUCAAAAAAUUACGAAAUUUUUUUUUAGGUACUUCAAAUAUCUAAUAAGUUUAAAGAAUCGAUUUAUGAUUCGAAAACACCUAACAUUGGAAAUAUACUUUAAAAGUACGGAAGAUUUCUAUGCUUCAGAAGCAAUAAAAAAGGACAAACGAGAAAACAUGUGUUAAAAAAAAAAAAAAAAAAAAAAAAAAGAAAAAAAAAAAAAAAAAGUUGACAGUUGUUUUUCACGUGGUGCCAAACAAUCCCUAGUAUGGCACACGUGCAAUAAAGCGCCACCAAGCCUCCCUCGCCGCUCGUCGCGCUCUGCACACCUCGCUCGCCGCGCCGUUGAUCCGCCACCUUACUUCCCUAUAUUAAGGAAAUUAAGUUAUUAUAAUUACAUAAGGGCAACUUUAAAAUAUCACCCUAACGAAUUUCAACUUUUCACUUUAAUAUCUCUGUCGCUCUCCACAGCCCCCCCCCCCACCUGUUACUCCGUUUAGUACUCCUCCCUCGGUAUCACUCUUUUUCUCCUUUUCGUCGCUCUCUUUAGAUAUACAUUUUGUUUAAGCAUCAAUACAAAAAUUCAGAUACGCCUACUGUAAUUUACCAUCGAAUAUAUUCCACGAUUAGUCCCUCUCUCAUUAUCUACACUUUGUCACAGACUUAAUGCCCCCCUCGCUGCACCCCCCCAGGCGAUUAUAAAAACGCUAAAACUAACACCCUCCCGCCCGGCUCGCCCCCCCCCCCCCCCCCCCCCCCUCUCGCACCCUCUUUCUCUUCUUCUCUCCUUUACCCAGCCCCCCCGUCCUCGUCGCGCCGCUCCGCCCCCCCCUCGCCCACCCGCCCCUGCGCCAUCGCGCUCCCUACCCUCGCGUUCUUCUCUCUCAAAACACCACUUAAACGGCCUCUCACACAUCUCCACAGCUCCAAUUCGUCGCAGAUCGCUGCCUUUAACCCACCUUUAAAUCUUGAUCCAAUUACCCCUAAACUUUCUCUCCUCAACAUCUCCUUUUUUUUUUAUCUCUUUCUCUCUCCCCCUCUACUUUUCAAAAAUCUAUAAUUUUUACCCCCAUAUUUUAAGUUAUUGUAUUUUAAUCCUAUCCGGUCAGAAGGUUAUAUCAUUAUUCAUUCAUUUUCAUGAUUUCAUAUAAAUAUAUCUUCAAAAUUACAAUAAUAUAAUUAAAAAAAUUAUUUUUCUUAUAAAAUAAAGUACACGCAGUAAUUUGGCAUUUAAUCUCCUUCCACUCCACGUACUCCGCUCCCUCGAAACAUCACUCUUUUACACUUUCUCCCCUCGCGCCCCCGCGCCAAAUAUCUCUCCUUGAAAGUCCGCGCCGCUCCCAACCCCCCCCCCCCCCCCCCUACCCCCCUCCCUUCACUUUUAAACAACACACCAUCCCCCUCAAUCGCUCGUCUCUCGCCAUACCACCACCUCCUUCUCUCCAUCUCUCGUCGUCAUCCUAAACUCGCUCCCCCACCUCAUUUACUCGAACCCGGCCUAAGCGCCAUGCCAACACUGCGCCCCCCCCCCCCCCCCCCCCUCCAUACCAUUCCAGCCUAGGCACCAAUAUACAGCUUGCGCUGCUCGUCUCCACUACAGAGCGGGCCUCCGACUGCGCCUUCUCCGUGUCUCCUCGCUUACCCAUCUCACUCUCCUGCGCUGCCGACCUAAAGGCCUCCUCGCACCUUAAAUCUCUCUCGAGCAAUCAUUCGACCCUCAACGACCCCCGUUCCCUCUCCCUCCGCCUCCUCGCGGCUCCACAUGUCAUAAACUUCUCGCUACGCACCCCUGAAUCUCCACGCCGACAUAUCCCGACCGCCAUCUACCUGCUCCCCCCACCUCCGCCGCUUUCGGCUCCGCGCGCUAACCUCUACUACGCACUCCCCUCAUCCCCCCCCCCAUCGUCUCCGCCCCUCACCUUCUCCCUCUUCAUCCCGUGCGUUGACGAGGACAGCUCCUCUUACCUCAUUUAUUAACUAAAUCAAUAAAAAUGUGAUUUUAAAUUCUACCCUUGCGCAUUGUCCAAGAUUAGCAACAUCCAAUCUACGAUUUUGCAAUCAACUAAGUUUAUAUUCACUUUACCUUGGCAAUCUCUGGUUGUAUCUUACACUUUGCCCCAUUAAGCGACAUAUUUUAUAUUACCAUAGUUUAUCUUCUUUUCUCUCUCUCUUUUUUUUUUUUUUUUUUUCUCUUAUUUAAGUAAGCGGAAAAAGGGGUGGAUAACUUGUAGGAAUGCAUGCCAUAAUCUCCUCCUUCUUUCUCAUCCUUGAUUUUUUUUUCACUCCCCAGUCCUGCCUUAAAAAUUUCCGCACCUACAAUAUGCGCUAAAAUCUCAAUCAAAUUAAGAAAGCAUCCCCUACCUUCUUUAACCCUCACAACCUCUAUUGUGAUUUUCUAACCAUUAGAACGCUGCCCUACAGCAUCUCAACCCUCAGACAUAACGUUGCCGGCCCUCUUGCAGAAACCCAUCAGUGUUGGUCUCCCAUGCAUUUUUCACCUUUCAACAAAAAAAAAAAAAAACCCAGCGCCUCAUCAACCAGAACACAUUCCACCACGGCAGUCAUUUAAUUAGCACAUUCCUUGUAUUAUUUUAUCAAUAUUAAGGAAAGACCUUGGAAAUUAUAUAACUUACUUCAACCCCUCGCUCUCCUCCUCUCCCCCUUCGCCCCCCCCCCUUCCCUCUCUCAAACUCUCUCUCUCCUCUCUCCUCCUACUCCUCGUCGCUCUACCUACCCCUCUACCCUCUCUCUCCCCCCCCUCCACAUCUACUCUCAUAUAUCAGCCCUUUCUCCUCUACCAUCUAGUAUUUGCUUUCAUGUUGAUGUCAGACAACACUCAUGCUACUACACUCCACAUAAUAUAUAUAUAUAGAGAUAGACUUGAACCCCCUACCUCUUUAUAUACUCCUCAACUACCUCAAUGGAUAAACAGUGGCUCGAAUUCAAUCACCACGAUCAACUCUAUACACUCCGGCCUCUCUCGCCUCUCCCCCUCCCACUCGCUCAACUCCGACCGCUCUUCUCUCACGCUCCCCUCCCGCUCAUCUCUACCCACCCCCGCGCGCAGCGGAGCUCUCCUCACUACAACAGACUUUCUCGGGUCUCGCUCGCUCCCCCCCCCCAUGUCCGACUAUCCCCGCCGAGCCCCGUCCCCCCCCCCCCCGCCGUACCACGCGAUGACACUCUCACGCUCCCGACCUUGCCGCCGCCCCCUCACCCCCCCGCCGCCACCGCCGAGCCCCUCCCUCCCCGCCCCCGCGUCCUCCCCGCUCGCAUCCCCCCCCGCCCCCGCCGCCGCCUCGCACGCGCGACGCGCCACGCACCCCGGUCGUCCCGCGCCCCACGCGCCCCCCCGCACCCCCCCCGCUCCCCCCUCCCCCCACCCCCGUGGACCCGCCCUGGCAACAACAACACCCCACCGAAACCAACGAGAACGCACCGACGCAGCUACGCUGCCCUCACCUUUCUCUUCGCCGCCCGGGUAUAUAAUAAGUCGCAGUUAAGAUAUCUUUAAGUAUCAAGUGGCACGAGAUCAUAUUAAAAAUUUAUAGGACAAUAUACGAGUACGGUGCGUGCCAAAUCGUGCAUGGUGCUAGGAUGGCACGGUCGAUAUAUAACGGCUUAUGAAAGUUGAUUUUUUUUAGAACAAUAUAAAAUUCAUUGAAAAAUUAUUACUAAUUUAAAAAAAAAAGAGUUUUGAGUUGAUGUAUCGGUAUGAGAGGUUAUAUACCAAUAUCUUAUUGAUACAUACGACAAGAUAAAAAUGGCUCAUGCUGAUAGGCAUAUAAAUCUUAUAGUAACUGUCUUUCUGCUUUUAUAUGUCUUAUGGUAUAUUCAGCAGUAAAGCUGUAGAGGAGAGAGCUGACGAGAAGGGACGGCGGUCGGGCGCGGUUCGAGGGUGCGGGUGGCGCUCCGCGGAUAGGGGAGAUAGAGCGGUUCGCAGCGUGAGGGGAACGACGUCCGAUUUCGAUGAAGGGGGGAGAGUAGAAUGCUAUUAUUAUCACUGAGGUGAUUAAUCGCGGACUCGCGCGCGUUGACCUGUCGCGGCGCCGAUUGGGGCGGUGGCGCGGAAGCGCCGGGAAGGAAGGUGAUUAUAGGAAGAGGAGCGACCAUGGCCCCCCAAGCGCCUCUUCAGUGUGAAUUGUACAUGAUGAAUGGGUAUGAAUGGGUUGGAAGAAACAUUAAUUUGUUUAUUUCCUUUUUUUUAUUUAUUCAUGAAAAUGUAUUUAGUAAUUUUCUUAUGCAUUAAUUUGUUGACAUUUGACCCUGCCUUAAUUACUUUCUCUUUAUUUUAUUAUUUUAAUUUAUUUAUACUUUUCUCUAAGAUUGAAUUUACCACGAGUCAAAUUCGCAGCUAAUUUUAAUUUUUAAAUAUAUAAAAAUAAAGCCAAAUUAAGUAAUAUUGAGAUUUUUCGUGACCGCCGGCCCACCCUUUUAUGAUGUGGCACUGCCAUAGCUGUCUCGCCUUAUAAUGCAAAUCACCGUACACGUGUCUUCUCUCCUGCUACAAAACAGAUCACGCGUACGUGUUGUAGUGAAGCUGCUUAAAUAUUAUUAGUUUAAACAUUAUUUAUUUAAUAUUUUAUCAAAUUUUUAAAAAGUGAAAAAAGAGCUAUCUAGUAUUAUUAUAGCAUUAAACAAUUCAAAUGCCACAUCUAUAUUUGCAUAAAUUAAGUAAGUGAGGAAUUCGAGACGCAAUGCUUUAUUUCUAUCCCAAUUGAUUUAAUUGCUUUUUUUUAUCGUUAAAGUGUAGAACAGAACCAUGAAAACUGAUUUUUUGCUAGUUUUAAGAAAAAAAAAUGGGUAUGUCAGAUAUUUUAUUUUUUGAAAAAUUUUAAUAAACUACAUUCAAUAAUAAUCUAUCAAUUUUUUAUUUUAGCUGGUAAAUAUUUAAUCGAUUUAUUGCACGAUAUUCGGAAUUAUUGAACAAAUAAUAUGAACGUUCGUUGUCAAUUUAUUAUUCAUAUUCAAAGUAAAUAUUGUAGGGAGGGCUCUGUGCUUCCACUUUGUUUUCGAUGUUUUGGACUCUUCGCACUGAUCGGCUCCGUUAGAUUGAUCUAAAGUAUUUGAAGUAUAUAGAAAAUAAAUUUAGCGAUUUUUCGAUAUUUAUUUGCCCUAGUGAUCGAAAUGGCUCAAAUCAACGGCUGGAAAUAAAAUCUUACAAAAUAUGAUGAUAUGACAUUAAAAUUUAGAUCAUAAAGUUAUUGAUCUUGUUUUAUAUGGUAUAAAGAAUUUUCUAUCAAAAUUUUAUGUGAUUUGGAUAUUUCUGUACGUUAACUUGCAAUCGCUCCGUGCUUCGCAUAAAUUUUGUAGAGUAUUUGAAGUACCUAGAAAAUAAUUUUGUGAUAUUUUCGUUAUCAUUUGCCUAGUGAUCGAAGGGGCUCAAAUCAAUAAUUUACCGGCGUGAUGAGCUAGUUGCAAGUUUAACGUAUAGAAUAUCCAAAUCACAUGAAAUUUUAAUAGAAAAUUUUAUUAUACCAUAUAAAACAGAUCAAUAACUUUGAUCUAAAUUUAAUGUCAUAUCAUCAUAUUUUGUAAAGAUUUUAGACCGUUGAUUUUGAGCCACUUCGCAUCACUAGGCAAAUGAUAUCGAAAAAUCGCUAAUUUAUUUUUCUAGAUACUUAAAUACUCUAGAUCAAGUCUAACGGAGGCCAUCAUCGAUUCGAAGUCCGAACAUCGAAAACAAAGCGGAAGCACGGAGCCACGUGCUUCCAUAGCAUCCUAGCCGCACAUCUAUAUAUAUAUAUAUAAUAUAUAUAUAUAUAUGUAUACUAGUAAAAUGUACGUGCAAAUGACGUAAUAAUUAAUAGAAAAAGUCAUAUUUUUUUAAUUAUUUUUUAAUUUUAGCCCUAUUUUAUAUGAUUGCCAAAUAUGCAUCUAAAAAAUUUAAAAUAAUAAAUCACCUAUUAAGAAAGAUUUGCUUUAAAUGAUAAAUAAUUAACUAAUACUCUAAUGAAAAAUUACUUUUGAAAUUAAAUUAGAAAAAUAAAAUCUUGUUAGGAAAUAAAUUUUGAAAUUAAAUAGAAAAUAAAAUCGUUAUCUUUAAAAAAAAUAUAUUUGAAAUUAAAUAGAUAAUAUCUAAAAAAGAUAUUUUAAAAUAAAAUAGGAAAAUAUCUUUGUAGGAUUUUCACAACCGUAAUCUGUUAUAGAAAACUUACUUUGAAUUAAAUAGAAAAUUAUAUUUUUGAAUUUUCACAUCAGUAAUCUGUUAUAGAAAAUUACGUAUUCAUUGUUGUUUUAUUUCUAUUUUUUUAUCUUUAUUUAAAAUUUUUUCGUAGGAAGAGGGAAAAUAGGGCUAAUUUUUCGCCGAAAAAUGGGUCUGUCGACAGACCCAAAUUUGAUAUAUAUGCGCUUUUAUAUAUUAUAUUAUUAUAUAUAUAUAUAUAUAUAUAUAUAUAUAUAUAUUAUAUAUUAUAUACACACGGAGCCUUCCGUGCUUCCAGCUCAUUUUCGAUGUUGCGACUUUCGAAUCGUCGAUCGGCUCCGUUAAACUUGAUCUAGAGUAUUUGAAGUACUAGAAAAUAAAUUUUAUGAUUUUACGAUAUCAUUUGCCUAGUGAACGAAGUGGCUUAAAAUCAACGCUGAAAAUAAAAAUCUUACAAAAUGUGAUAAUAUGACAUUAAAAUUUUAAAUCAAAAAUAUUGAUCUUAUUUUAUAUAGUUAAAGAAUUUCUAUAAAUUUCACAUGAUUUGGAUAUUUCUACACGUUAAACUUGCAAACGGCUCACUACGACCAUUAAAAUUGAUUGAUUUUGAGCCCAUCGAUCACUAGGCAAAUGAUAUCGAAAAAUAAUAAAAUUUAUUUUCUAGUUAUUCAAUACUCUAGAUCAAGUUUAAUCGAGACGGACAGCGAUCGACGAUUUGAAAGUCGCAACAUCAAAACGAGAGCACGGAGCACGGAAGGCUCCGUGCUUCCGAUAGCAUAGUAGCCUCACUAUAUAUAUAUAUAUAUAUUAUAUAUAUAUAUAUAUAUAUAUAUAUAUAUAUAUAUAUAUAUUAUUAUAUAGAAUUAGGCUGGAAUACUAUUAAUAGUAAACGCUUUUUUGCUAUCAAGUUUUUACCCUAGGAUGAAAAUUGUAGGGUCAGGAUGAUUUAGUCAGUUAGAGUUGAGUGGUUCCCUAGGGUUUAGUGGUCCCCACUGGGUUAUAGUAUUUAAUCCAAUGGUUAGAAAUAAUAAAAUGAGUUGAUCAAAGGCUAAAAAACUGGUAGCAAUAAUGAAAUUUUGCUCUAAUAAUAGCCCAGUCCAACUAUAUAUAUAUAUAGUUGAGCUAGAAUACUUCUAAAAGCAUCAAGGGAUGGUGCUUGUGAGUUUUUACCCAUUGGAUAGGAGAAAUAUUGGGUUGGGUGAUGUGUAAGUGAUGGUAGGUGGAAUAGUGUUUGAUCCAAGGGCUAUCAGUAAUCAAAGAGUAGCAUCCAGGCCCUAAAAACCUAAUAGCACCAAAGGGGUGAUACUUGUAAAGUAUUCUAGAUCAAUUCUAUAUAUAUAUAAUAUAUAUAUAUAUUAAGUUCGAUUGCAAAUAUAAGAUAUUUAUUAUUGAAUUUUAGCAGGCCAUAAUUUCUCCACAAAAGGCUUCUGUUUAUGUUUCCAACAAGUAAUUACUACUUAGAAUAGGUCUACAUUACACUAACUUCUUUUUCUUUUUUUUUCUUUUCGAUUUUAAACUCUGAAAUUAAUUACCUAAAAAAUAAAUCUCACAGUGAUUGAGUACUAUUAUAAGUUUUUCAUAAUAUGUGAUCUCUUAUGUGUUAUUAUGUAUUGGCACCCAUAAUAUGAAGAAUUUUAAUUAAUUCAGACAUACAGAAUAAAAUAUCGCAUUAAUUUAUCAACGUAUAUAUCAAUAAUUUAUAAAAAUAAUAUUAUAGGGUACUCAAAAAUUUCCUUCAGUUUAUAAUUAAUUAAAAUUAGAAUUGAACUUUCCAGAUCAACCAAACGAAAUAAAAUUUAUCUACUAUUUAAAGCUCACUAAUUAAGUAGAAAACUUAAUGAAACUAAAUAUUAGAAUUUAUUCUAAUAUAAAGCCAAGUACUACUGAUUUAUACUAAGUUAAUAAAAUAUUUUAAAGCAUGUUCUCUACUAAUAGCGAACCCGCGCUCUGCAGCGAAGAGAUAACAUAUUGCUAAAUAAUCAUAUAAAUAUACAUUUUAGAAAUGUAUAUAUAAUAGAUAACUAUUUUGCAUAGUUGUAUAUAUAUAUAUAUGUCACGAUCUAAACCAUCCCUAACUAGUUCGAGUCGCGAUCGCCGCAUCUUCGUACAAUUCAAAUCUGAGAACUCGAACUUAAAUUCUAUAGAGCCGCAAGGCUUUAAGAAAAGACUACGGCCCUGUUUGGAUGCAUAGCUAAAAAAUUUCAUGGAAUUUUUAUUCUAUGGUUUUGGUCUAAAUGAAAUACGGAAUCCUGUAACUACAAAAAAAUUUCACAGCUUCAUUUUUAAGCUGUUUGGAUACAGAUCAUACAAUUCUACAGUAUUUAUAACAAUUAAAUUUCUAAAAUUUUAAAAUUCAGAAUUCAAAAUUCAAAAUUCAAAAAUUUAAAAAUUAAAAUUCAAAAUUCAAAAUAUAAAAUUAAAAUUUAAAAUUUAAAAUUAAAAAAUUUAAAAAUUAAAUUAGAUUUUAUGUUUUAAAUUGAAAUUUGAAAUUUGGAUUGUGAAAUUUAAAAUUUGAAAUUUGAAACUUUAAAUUUAAAAUUUAAAGUAUACCAUUAUAACUUUAAAAUUAAAUUUAAAAAUCUAUAAUUAAAAUUUUAAAUUUUAAAUUUAAUAAUUUAUAAAUUUACAUAUUUAUAAAUUUAAAAUUUAAAAUUUAAGUUUAAAUUUAAAUUUUGAAAAUUAAAAAUUAAAAAUUAAAUUAAAAUUUGAAAAUUUGAAAUUUGAAAUUUGAAGUUUUUGAAUUUGAAAUUUGAACUUUUGAAAUUUGAAAUUUGAAAAUUUGAAAGUUGAAAUUUUGAACUUUUUGAAAUUUGAAAUUUGAAAUUGAAAUGAAAGUUGAAAUUGAAAUUGAAAGUUGAAAAUUUGAAAUUUGAUAUUUGAAAUUUGAAAUUUGAAGUUUGAAGUUUGAAAUUUGAACUUUUUGAAAUUUGAAAUUUGAAAGUUGAAAUUUGAAAGUUGAAAUUUGAAAUUUGAUAUUUGAACUUUUUGAAAUUUGAAAUUUAAAAUUUAAAAUUUAAAAUUUGAAAUUUAAAAUCAAAAUUAAAAUUGAAUUUUAAAUUUUAAAAUUUGAAAUUUAAAAUUUUAUGUUGAAAUUUAAAAUUUAGAAAUUGAUACAUGUUUGGGAGCCCAAAAUGGUGGAAUUUUUUUUCUUUGGUUAAAGUGGAUUGUAAGUUCACUCUAUUUUUUGGAGUAUAGUAUAAUUAUACUCCAAAAAUUACGUAAUUUUUUUUUCUUCCAAACGCUUCAUAGGAUUAUUUUCCUACCGGCGUAGCAUAGUUUAACUAUGCUACGUUUUUAGAGAUAUCCAAACGGAGCCUACAUCUACUCAUACUUGGGGGUGAAUCAAAAAUUGCGCAACAAAAUGGCCAAUUAUAUAUACAACAAAUAAAAGACGAUAAUAUUUUUUGUACAAUUUAUACAACAAAUAAAUUAAGUAUACUACUACUUAGGGCAUGUUUGGUUGCACAAAAGUGGAUGAAGUGAAAAAAGUUACUUUUACAAAAGUAACUUUUAGAAAAGUCACUAUUUAGUUCGAUUGUUUAGUUGGCUAUAAAGUAAAAACCUAAAACUAUAAUUUUGUCAUUUUGAUUAUUAAACUAUGUAUAAAGAAGUGAAAAUAUAAACAAACGACUUAUACUCAAAAAAAUUAGAACAUUUAUUCAAAUUUGAAUUCAUAAUUUUAAUUUAUAAUUUAAAUCAUAUAUUAAUUUACUCUUUGAUCUUAAAUUUUGAAUUCAAAUAUGAAUUCACAAUUUAAAUUAAUAUUUAAAUUAAAAUUAAAAUUUGAGUUUAAAUCAUAAUUCAAAUCCAUUUGAAUUCAUAAUUCAAAUUCAAACAGAAACUAAUUAUUGAAAUUAAAUGUAAAUAGCAAAUUUAAAUUUGAAUUUGAAUUUGAACUUGAAAAUAUAAAUUUUAAAUUCAAAUUUUAGUCAAUAAUUUGAAUUUAUACUUGGAACAAUUUGAAUUCAAAUUUCAAAUUAAAGUUCUUAACUAAAAAUAAUUUGAUUAAAAUUUAAAUUAAAAUUUUAAAUUUUAAAUUUAAAUUUAAAUUCUAGACUUCAAAUUUAAGUAAAAAUAAAAUGUUAUAUUUUAAAUUUAAAUAUAAAUAUAAAGUCACAAAUUUGAAUUUAAAAUUUUAUAUUGAAUUUUAUUUUAUAAAUAAAAUUCAGAAUGUGAUAAAAAAUUUAAUUCAAAUUUAAAGUGAAAUUGAACUUUAAAAAUAAAUUUAAAUAUUAAAGUUAAGACCAAAUAUAAUCUCUUAGCUAAACUCUCCACUUUCGGUGACUUCUGAAUUUUUUGAGCUGAAGUCAAAAAAGUGAGAUUUAGUUAUAACCCACUUUAUCAGUCCACUUUCGUAAAGUAACUUUCAUAUUCACUUUCGCAAACCAAACAACCGAUAAGACGUCACUUUCUUAAAGUAUCAUUUUCGAUGCUUCACUUUCGACGAACCAAACAUGCCCUUAAUGCAACUAUAGAAUAAAGUGACAUCUCUAUAUAUACAUAGUUCACAUUGGGUAUGUUAUCCAAAUCCUACCUGCAAAACACUAGCUAGAAACAAAACUCAGGUAAUUAAUUAGGAUAUGAUAAAAAAGAGCAAAUAUCAUCUCCAUACUCAUAUACCACCCUCCUCCAGUCAUUAGCGCAUUGCUCUAUCAGGUCUUAAGCUGAACUCAUUCUAAGCAUACAUUAUUAGAAUCAGACAUGAUAAUGUAUCUCGCUUGUCAUAACGUAUUCUGGCAUACAUCAUAAGACGUACGUCACUGAUCAUCUUUACUGGAUUACUUUUAGUUUGGACAUCUCUUUUUUUACCGAUCUUUCUGGCAACCAAAAUAUCUCUCCCUUUAUUGCCAAACAAGAUAUUUUAUCCCGUUUUCACAAUCACACCCGCAUUCUAUCCUAGUCUCCAUUCCACAAAUCAAGGUUUCUAAAUUAUCAUCUCAUCUCAAGUAAAAAGUGAAUUACACCCAUGGUCUACGUAUCCUUGGAUCGAUAUCACUGUUCGGUAUCACAAAAUAACAUCAUGUCACUUUUGGAUAUCUACAUAAUCAUCAAACCGCGUACUCGAUAUUCAUCAUAUAUGUUGGCUUAAAUGGGCCAGCAUCCUAUCUUGUGACGGAAGAUAAUGUUGGAUUGAGUUAUAUUCGAAAUAGCGCGAGAUUGGGUAGGUCGAGUCAUGUUCGAAGUGGCGUGAGGUUGGUUGGGUCGAGUCAUAAUCAAGGCCUGUGGGCGCUGUAUCUCUAUGCUUUAAGUGAAUUAGUUGUGUAUUUCUAACAGCUCAAGCUUUUGGGAUUAAUGGUUAGCACCAACGAUCCGACAAUAUAUACAUACAAUCGUAUCCACUGUCCAAAGGGUUACAAUCUGGAAUUUAGUAUAUCUAAUCGCCAUUGCCUUCAAUCACCUUUAUUUUGCCAUUGCCUUUAGUCACCCUUAUUUUGCCAUUUUUAUCUUCUCAGUUUCAAUAACUUUUACUCUUUCUCCUCUUCCUCUAUGGUUCAUCUCAAUGGUGGGGAAUGGGGAGACAAGAUAAGUCGCAGCUAAAAUUAUCCCCUACUAGAUAAGGCAGAUUUAAGAAGAUUAUAAAUUUCAUAAUAUUUUAAUAACGGGCUUUUUUUGCAUAUAGCCUCCUGGUAAAUUUUUAUUUUAAAAAAGCCUUCUUAAAAUUUAAUUUACAAAAAUGACCUUGCGCCUGCCACGCAGGCGCCACGUCAGCACCACGCGGGCGGGGCCGGGGCCAAUGUGUUAAGUUAAACAUGGUGUGUUUAGACACGGUGAAUCAUUCACCGUGUUUAGUAUGUAUAUUUUGUAUAUUGAAAAGAGGAAUAUGGAGUAGGGAUGUCAAUAGGUAUGGAUAUCCGAAAUAUUAUCCGAACCCAAAUCCGAAUAAAUUAUAUAUAUAUAUAUAUAUAUAUAUAUAUAUAUAUAUAUAUAAUUUAUUCGGAUUUGGGUUCGGAUAAUAUUUCGGAUAUCCAUACCUAUUGACAUCCCUACUCCCUAUUCCUCUUUUCAACAUAUAAAAUAUACUAAACACGGUAAAUCAUUCACCGUGUCUAAACACAGUGAAUGGUUCACCGUGUUUAACUUACCACAUUGGCCCUCGCCCCGCCCGCGUGGUGCUGACGUAGGACCUGCGUGGCAGACCUAUGGUCAUUUCUGUAAAUUAAAUUUUGAUAGGACUAUUUUUAAAAUAAAAAUUUGUCAGAGGACUAAAUAUAAAAAAAGCCCUUUAAACUCUAGCAAUACAUGAGAGAGAGAGAGAGAGAGAACAAAAGCGAUAGAAGGGUAUUAUUGCCUGCACUUGAAUAGAUGUGAUAAUAUUUUAUAAUUUGUGAAGAUCUUACAAACUAUAAAAGAGAUCUAGCAAGUUAUAAAAAAGAGUGCAAAAGAGAGAAAGAAGGGUAUUGCUUGCACACGGAUGAGAGAGAGAAAAAAAGAAAAAAGUGAGAAUCAUAUUAUAAGAUAUGAUAAGGAGAGAAAUAUAUUUUUCAAAACAAAGUAUUUGAAAUUCUACUUUUUUUAUUUGAAAUUCUACUUUCUUUUUUUUUUUUUUUUUGAGAUAGGUAGCACGUUACCCGCUUCGUUUAUUUGAUCAGUUAGAAAUAAACUUAGCUGGAAAUGUGAAUCAACUAGGAUUCGAACUUGGGUCUCGGAUACCAACCACAAAGCCCUUCGCCCCUUGCUCUAGGGACGGUGGGUAAUUCUAUAUUUUUUUUAAUAUCAUAUUUAUCAUAGCUAGUAAAGCUACCCGCCGGAACAAUCUUAAGUUCUUAACAUAACAUUUUAGAAAAAAACUUCAAAUAACACUCUUAUGAUUUCAUAUUUUUUUAUUUUAAUAUUCUGCAGUUUAUAGUGUAUUAAUUUAGUAUUCCGUGGUUAUUUUUCAUUUUUUAUUAUUUUUCCUACUAAUUUUUUUUAUUAAAUCAGUGAUAAAGUUAAAACUAAAAAUAUUAAAAUGAAUAUUCAAUAAAUCUAGAUGGUGUAUCUAAAGUUUUUUUGUAUAUAAUUUAAUAAAAUAUUAACGGAGGGAGCUACCCCCAGAAAAAAAAAAACCACAGACACUAAUUUGAUAACUUUAAAUCACAAAAUUUAAACGGCAGAGAAAGUGCGAAUCAUAGGAGUGGUAUUGAAGUUUACCCUAAAAAUUUAUUUUUCUACCACUUAAUAAUACUACAGAUGAAGUGGUCUAUAAUAGACCAGGUUUAGGCAAUAAUAUCAUAUAUCAUACAGUGAAAAGCAUGAAUUCCUUUCGUGUCGCGCCCAAAUUGAAUUGCUUUCGCAAAGAUAAAGAUAAAAUAAAAAAAUAAAAAAAAAUAAUCUUUAGAUAUAUAGACUAGAGAAUUGUAGACGUUAUAUUCCCCCUCUGUCCCCAUGCGGUUUAAAUAAGUGACCGUUGUCGGUCUCCUCCACUACUUCAAGAUUCCUCCCUCCCUCCCUCCCUCCGUUUCCUCACCCCAUACAAAACCCUGGCUCCGGCGAAACCCUAGUUGCUGAUCUCCUUCUCCGGCGAUGUAGGGGACGCCGCCGCCCAUGGCUUCUUCCUCUGGCGAGAACCCCACGGAUGGACCCGUCCUCCUCCAUGGCGACCUCGACCUCUGGAUCAUCGAGGCGCGGCGCCUCCCCAACAUGGACUGGUUCUCCGACCACCUCCGCCGCUGCUUCGACCCGUGCAUCUCCCUCAUCCCCACCCCCAAACCCUCCUCCGAUCCCGGCGAUCCCGAAGGCGAUCGCGAUCGCCGCCAUGGGGCGAAGAUCAUCACCACCGACCCCUACGUCACCGUCUCCGUCGCCGGCGCCGUCGUCGCCCGCUCCCGCGUCAUCCCCAACUCCCAAGAACCUAAGUGGAACGAGCACCACCUCGUCCCCCUCGCCCACCGCGCCGCCUCCGUCAACUUCCACGUCAAGGACGACGACCUCCUCGGCGCCGAGCUCGUCGGCUCCGCGUCCGUCCCCGCCUCCCGCCUCCUCGCCGGCGCGAUCCGCGAGUGGCUCCCCCUCCGCCGCCCCAACGGGAAGCCGCCCAAGCGCGGGGCCGCGCUCCUCGUCGCCCUCUCCUUCGUCCCCGCAGAGGAAACCCCUCUCUACCGGAUCGGCAUCGCCGGGGACCCGGAGAGGCGCGGCGUGAGGGAGGCGUACUUCCCCCUGCGGAGCGGCGGGGCGGUGACGCUGUACCAGGACGCGCACGUCCGCGAAGGGGAGCUCCCGAAGAUCGAGCUCGAGGAUGGGCGCGUGUUCGAGCACGGCACUUGUUGGCAGGACAUGUGCCAGGCGAUCCUCGAGGCUCACCAUCUCAUCUACAUUGUCGGGUGGUCGGUGUACGCUAGGGUUAAGUUGGUGAGGGAGCCGACGCGGCCGCUCCCGCGCGUCGCCACGGAGCUCACGCUCGGCGAGCUCCUCAAGUACAAGUCCGAGGAGGGGGUUCGGGUGUUGCUGCUCGUGUGGGACGAUAAGACCUCUCAUGAUAAGCUGUUCAUCAAGACGGUAUUGCAAUUUUACCUCCUCUACCUGGCUUUUGAUUUGUCUCUGUUUAUCAAUCUACUCCUAAAUUUGUUUGGAGCUUUUAUUUAUGCAGGAUUUCCAUUCAUGCAGAAAGAAUUUGAUAGGAUUUAUUAUAGCAUAGGCAAAUCUCAUCCGUGAUAUGUAGUCAAAUUUGAUAAAAUUUAUUUGCUGUAGUGAUGCAAUAACCCAAAGAUACCCUCUCUUUAAGUAGUCAGAUUAGCGAUCUUGUAGGUGUGGCACUGUUAGGUUGGUAUAUUAGGGCUUAGGCAUGUGACUCGACUCAUUUUGAGUUUUCGGUCACUGAUUUUCGCCCCCUCUUAGUUAGGUUAGUUUCGUUCUUUUGAUUGCUCAUGUCUGGGACCAUAUCUGUUUUUGGGUCGCUUGCAUUUGGGUUACCUUGGAAGGUUGUUUGAUUUGGAUUGUCACAGGUUGGGUCAGUACGAUUCGGUUUGGUUUUUCAGGUUUAAUUUGGAGGUGUUCAGGUGUCAUCUCUUGCAUAUAGGUUUGUUUUAUCGAGUCAUUGUUAUUACUAAUAUCAGGUGCUUCAGAUCUUGGCUAUCUCAGAGUCUAGUAAUUUUGGUUUCAGGUUGCUUUGAAUUCAACUGGUUCCAGGUUUUGGGUCUCUCAGGUUUUGGUUUGUUCGGGUGUUGGGUUGUAAAGGUCUCAAUUGACAUGGUAGUUAUCCCAAAAUUCGGUUCGCUUUGCUCUCAACUGGCUUUAGGCAUGUAUCUAAUCUACGUUCAGGUUAUUGACUUUGUAAGUCAACUUAGGUUGGAUCAAAUGAACUUUGGGGCAGGAUGGGUUUGGUCAGCUUUUCCCACCUUUAUUUUCUUGUUGUCUAAUUUAAUAGAUUUUACACAUAAUGGUAUGAUUUAUCCAUCUCUUGCCAAACUAUAUACAUGAAUUGAAUCCAGUUCUAUCUAGUUUGUAACAUUUUCUAGCGUAUGCCAUUAGAAAAAUUUUGUCUCGCUCUAAAUGUUCAACAGUUUUCUGAUCAUGUCUUUCUACCUAUUCCUUAUGUGUGCUUUCAUGAUUUGCUAUUCUAUAGGGGGGCGUGAUGCAAAGUCAUGACGAAGAAACUCGUAAGUUCUUCAAGCACUCUUCUGUCAUCUGCGUAUUAUCGCCACGUUAUCCCAGCAACAAGCUUAGUAUUGUCAAACAGAAGGUAGGAAGCUAGUCAUAAGUUUAUAUACAAAAUGCGCUAAUGAUCCUCAACCUACUAUGCAAACUCAAUUUGCUUUCGAAUCAUUCAAUUUUCAAAAUGGGUCCCCAGUGCAAGUCCUUCUAUGUUGGGUAAAUCUGUUAAAACACUCUUCUAUAAUCUUUUUACUCCGUAUGAAUUAAAUUGUGUGGAAUUAUGCUGGCCAGGAUUUUCCUUGUCCUGGCAUCCACAAUGCAUUUACAUGGUAAAUAGUUUCUGUACUUAUUCAUAAUCUUUUAGCAUUGGCUUUUAAUUGAAGGAUCAAUGUGCUAACAAAUGACGCAAGGAUUUUGCAAAUUAAAGUUUUUGGGCUAAUUUCAAUUCUCCAGUAGGUGAUUGAGGACCAUGGUUGCAUUUUGGUUUGAGUAUAUUUAUCGCUAGAUUAAUUAUGUUUCUUGAUCAUGUAGGUUGUGGGAACUCUCUAUACUCACCAUCAAAAGUGCUUGCUGGUUGACACUCAGGCUUCUGGAAAUGACCGUAAAAUUACAGCUUUCAUAGGAGGACUUGAUCUUUGUGAUGGCCGAUAUGAUACACCACAGCAUAGAAUUUUUCGUGAUCUUGAUACUGUAUUUUCAAGCGAUUUCCACAAUCCCACAUUUGCUGUGAGUAUAUUUCUUUCUUAAAUACCUUCUUCUAGCUCCGGGUUUCCUUGUUUGCAAGCAUUCAUAAACCAAUUUUGGACUUGUAGAAAUAAUACCUUGUGAGGCUCAUGAAAUGUAUAUCUGAUUUUAGAGACAAUUCAUAUUACUAACUUUAGAUUGAGUGGUUGGACCAUGAAAGCUUAGCAUCCUUCUAGUGUUCUUCUCUCUUUUGCCUUUUCUUUCUUUUGUUAAAACUCAUCCAUCUCUCUCAAAUCUUCAUAUCUCUCGUUUUCCUGUUCUAUAACCUUGAUAUUAUUCUGAUAAGUUUCAUAUAUCAUGGGAAGAAAUGAAUGGACGAGAUUAAUUGGAAAUUGAAACUGCAAGGAAUGAUUGAAAAGAGGUUUGACUGAUCCACUGUCUGUUCAGGGAAAACUGCAAGGAAUGAUUGAAAAGAGGUUGACUGAUCCAGUCUGUUCAGGGACAAAGUAAGUCCUAAACAGAGUAUACAGUUGUCCUCAUCAUUGUCAACUGGUUGAUUUAGCCUAGCCAACUGGUUCACCUAUUAACCAGCCUACUCUGAAAUUAUACAAAUGCUUCCACACAACUCUCACAGGAACCAUACUAUCAAAAUGGGGCGUUAUUUGGGUGCAGUUGGGUCACCGUAAUAGGAAUACUGUGACCCCCUCUUGCAGCAGGAUAUAGGUUCCUUUGAUGGAGAAAAUACAGAGCCUGGAUUGAAAUAUUGCACAGAAGAAUCACUGGCGACCAUAAGAGAUGUACUAAGAGCUUCAAUAUACUACUUUCACAAGAUUCUCUGUAUUGGUUUGAUUUUACACUUGGACUUGCCUGUGAUAUUUGGCUUUGAAUAUUUGAGUUAGCUUGUAUAGUUGUUUGAGUUAGCUUGUAUAAUUGAUUGAAUAGCACUUGAUUGAUUUGCAUUAUAAAAUACAAAAGUUGUAUCUAGUGAUUCCAACUUUUAUCAGGAAGACUGUGCAAAGAGCUACCAGAUUGCUAUUUUGGGGGCUUUUUGUUCAGUGAGAGGCAUUUGAUGAUAUAACUACUCAUACUUUCUAGUUUUGAUUCCUGUGCUUGGAUACUCAAAUGGGACUAACAUUGAUCUCUGCCUAAUCAAUAUUGUUACGACAUAACUAGGUAUCUCAUAUCAUAUAAUCCUAUUCUAAAUAUGUCGUAAUAUAUAGUAUCCUCACAUAGCAUAUCCUCACAUAGCAUAUGAGGAUACUAUAUAUGUCGUAACAAAUAUUUCAACAUUUUUGUGUACAUGCUCUGAAGAACAUUUUCUUUGAAAACCUGUGAAUUCUUCUGAAUCUCAAGAGAAAUUUCACACUCGUACGAACUUCUAAUGGCAACUGUUUAUAACUUUCGAUUUCUCACUAUCACUCAUCUAGAAAAGACUGAAACAAAUAAAAGAUUGAUAUUUUGUCAAAUCAGCAUGAUGCUCGUAAUUUCUCUUAUUACACAGACUAUGCUUCUCAUCCUAGUUUAGACUUAUCAGCAUUCAUAUUUCUCCCGUAGGCAGAUCCUAAAGGGCCCAGAGAACCAUGGCAUGAUAUGCACUGCAGAAUUGAGGGUCCUGCUGUAUAUGAUAUCCUUACAAAUUUCGAGCAGCGAUGGCGAAAGGCAACAAGAUUGCGUGAGCGUUUUAAAAAAGCAUCUCAUUGGAAGGAUGAUGCUUUAUUAAAACUGGAGCGAAUUUCAUGGAUACUCAGCCCGUCCUCUACAAUUCCAAAUGAUCAUCCGAGUCUAUGGGUUUCCUCCCAAGAAGACCCUGAAACGUGGCAUGUUCAGGUUGGAGUGCAUUUUUUUUUUUUCAUUUUUGUGUGUAUUGUUUUAUUUCAUUCUCAAUUUCGUAAACCCAUUUACCUUUCUAGUUCUUCAGGUUUUCAGAUCUAUAGACUCUGGAUCAGUGAAAGGAUUUCCCAAAAAUUCUCGAGAAGCUAUAGAAAAGGUGUGUUUCCAGUAUUGUUCAUCAAUGAAUAUCAAGUGCCUAACUACUUACUAAGGUGCAGAGUAGAAAUUCAGUAUGGACUGUUUGAAAGAACGACAUAACUGCUGCUAUCCAAUCAGCUUUCCCUGAGUUUGCAAAAGCAGUCCAACUUUUUUUAAAUUUUGUAAUUUUUGUCUACUUUAUAGUUUUCUGGUAUUAUGGGCUAAAAUCUCUAUUCAUGCAUUCGACAUAAAGAUAAGUUUAUACAUUAAGAUCUCGGCAAUGGGCAUUUCAAUCCAGGGAUUGAUAUUUCGGCUCAAGUUACAAAUUGCAUGCCCAACUUUUAAUCAACGUAGACUGUGCUGCCAUACCAUGUUAUGAGUUUUUAAGAUUAUUUUUAUACGAGUGUAUGCUCAGUGCUGUACCAUUGUAGAAAGUUAUGUAUUGGUGCUACAUCCAUGUAUAUAUUGCAACUCGUACUGAUUUAACUUUUGCUAUUGCUUAACUGCAGAACCUUAUUUGUCAGAAGAACUUAAUAGUAGAGAAGAGCAUCCACACAGCAUACAUUAAGGCAAUCAGAUCUGCUCAGCACUUCAUAUAUAUUGAAAAUCAGUACUUUAUUGGCUCUUCAUAUGGUUGGCCAUCCUACAAGAAUGCUGGUAUGGAGCACAGCCAGUUUAGCCUACUUAAUUAUACAUCUAGAUGUUAUUUUACCACAAAUGUGAACUUACAUGAAGUUUUUUUUUUUUUUUUUAACAUUGCAAUCAAUUUUCAAUCAAUUAUACAACCAACCCCUCUAAUGAUAUUUUAUGGUUGAAAUUCAGCAUGCCAUGUUAAUUACGAAUGCAGUAAUCAAUCAAUCCAGUUCUUUCUAAAAAGAUGCUCCAUCUUUAUUAGCCUAUUAUCUUCCAAAUCCAGGAUAGAAGUCAAAUUCAGAAGUAAUUUUAUGUUUUAAAUGCGAAGUGUACCUUUAUUUUAGCUACUGUGUUAGAACAUGCUAAUGUCGCUUAGCUUCCACGAUGUCAUUUAGUUACGCUCAGCAUGUAAAGACAAGCCUUUAGUGUAGCGAAUAUAACAAACUUUAUAUGCAUGUAGAAUGCUUGAGACAAAGUAAUCUUUUUCAAGUUAGUUUGUUGGUUGACCAAAUUUUGGCCAGCCAUUGGAUUCAGAUAGUUGUUGCUUGCUUGAAAUUGCUUUCAGUAGCAUUUAUUUUACUUGAAUAACACCUUAAUAAAAUCACUUUAUCAUUGCACUAUGUGGCCUUUAUUGCACCAACAACAGCUCAAGAUGUAGAACAUUUCAAUCUGAUUAUUUGGUGGUUUUCUUUCUUUAUAUUAUGUAAGUGUUUCUCUUAACAUGGUGAAGGGAUCUCCAAUAUGCCUUUUAUUCUGGAUUAAUAUAAACCACGAUGAGUAGUAUGUAGUUAGAAGUUCUUCCUGGUGUUCUUAUUGCUGGUAUUUCUGAGUGCUUGCUUGGUGUAAUGCUGCUUGGUGUAAUGCUUGUGAGCUGUGAAGACCUGUUUACACAGUUUUGUUGGCAUUGACAGGUGCUGAUAACCUGGUGCCGAUGGAAUUGGCCUUAAAAGUUGCAAGUAAGAUUAGAGCUGGUGAACAAUUUGCAGUGUAUGUAGUGAUACCACUGUGGCCUGAAGGAAUCCCAACUUCUUCCUCUGUGCAAGAGAUUCUUUUCUGGCAGGUGGUUUUACUUACCUACAGGACCUAAUAGAUUUCAAAAAAAAUGUUGUUAACGUGAAUAAUUAAACUGAUGUUAAUGUUGAAAUCUAUGUUUAUGGAUUGUUAUUAGACGAAAAGACUAAACUUCUUUUAAUGCUUAAAAAUUCAAACUUACUAGGAGGAAUCCUUAUGUAGAUUCUUUUAUAGAGGGUGCAUCUAAAAUUUUUUCCUUCAUUUUGUUCUUUGUCAAUUUUAAUAGAUUUUCUUGUAUCUAGACUUUCAUUUAGCUGCCUCCCUGAAAUUAUGGAACAUAUUCUUUUAAACAUCAUUCAGCUGCAUUUUCAUGUAAAGUGAUUUCCUUUCACAUUCAGCACUUUGUAGCAAAAUGACAAUAGCAUGCCUUUGGCUAAGAUCACCGGUUUGCAUGAGGCCACAUAAAUUGACUGUGGGUUAUAAGUGCCUCUCCACAUUUUCAAAUGACAUAUGGACCUCAGAUGAUUUAUAGUCAACUAUUUUAGACAAUUGAAUUGUAUUUUCCUUUUUCUUGUCUUUGAAAUCGUAGUUCCAUUCAGCACACGGAGAUUGGAGAGAACUAUAAACACAAUAUGGGUACUCAGUAGGAAUGCCACUUUAGACUGGGAGAGUCUCAAAGGCCAUCUCUUAUAAAGAUGGAUCACAACGAAUAUUGUCAGAUGCUUAUGCUAUUUGUACUUUUCAUAAUUCCGAUGUUCUAUAAAAGUUAUUCUUUGGGUUCAAAUUUUGCAGUUCAAUUUUGCUUUUUAACUGUUAGCAUGUGUGAGUUUCGCAGGGUCAGACUAUGCAGAUGAUGUAUGAAGUUAUUGGGCAAGAGCUCAAAUCUAUGAAGCUUGAGAAUGCGCAUCCACAGGACUACCUGAACUUCUACUGUCUUGGUAACCGCGAAGAAUUGCCCAGUGAUAUUUCAGAGAACUAUGAUCAUCCUACAGAAAAUAGUCCUGUGGUAAUCUAGAAUGUAUUUGUUUACGUUGUUAAAAUGCUUACUGUAUCAUUCAAUGCCAAGUUUUUUUUUCUUUUUCUCCUUUAUCAUUAAAUUGGUAUUUGUUCUGUUUUUAGUACUUGAUGCCCUCAUAUAACUUUUUAAAUAUUUUGUUGGAUCAUAUGCAAACUCGAAGCUAAAGAUAUGUUUAGAACUUCCAAUGCCAAAUAACAGUGGUAAUGCCGAAACAACUAAAAUGACUAUGCACACAAAUGCCGCUUAUUUUGAAGUGAAAUAUAGAUGAUUUCAAUGUUCCGAACUCUUAAUAGAUGACUACCGUGUUGUCAGCAUAGUUGUUUUAACAAAGUUGUUGAAUCUCUUCUUUCAAUCAAGCUUUCAACUUGCUUAAAAUUCGGUGUGGCAUGUGUUUAAAUUAACUAAAUAGAAAGAGCAUUAAUUUGUUGAUCAACAAAACUUCUAUUUAAUAUAUUUAACCGAGUUACUGUUUACAGUUUUCUCCUAAUUCUAGUCGAAGGAGCUUUUAGAAAAGCGUUUUUCCUUCACUUCGUAAUAGUCCAGCCAAAUCCGAGUCUUCUUUGUGUUUGGUCUGAUCUGUUUAUUGGUUGAGCCAAAUUAAAACUUUUGAAUACAAUGGUUGGUAUGGUUCUUUGGAUUAACUAGUCCUUACAAUAGUACAUUUUUGCAUCCAUUAUUUGCAUCAGACUCUCCUUACAUGAAAACAUUUUUCUGGAAUGCGCUUAUUUUGCUUUAUAUUUUCUACUGUAAUUUCAUGACAGUGGUCAGCAAUGACCGUUGAUACACUCUAUUUUAUUUUAUUUUAUUUUAUUUUCUCAGAACUUACAACUAUCUUUCUCAAAUGUAAUCAGGCCUUGGCCCGAAAAUACCGGCGUUUCAUGAUUUAUGUUCAUGCAAAGGGGAUGAUUGUAGAUGAUGAGUAUGUGAUCUUGGGAUCAGCCAAUAUUAAUCAAAGAUCUCUAGCUGGAACAAGAGAUACCGAAAUCGCUAUGGGCGCAUACCAACCCCAUUAUACAUGGGCCGAGAAGAAGAGGCAUCCACAUGGACAGGUUCUAUCAAACACUCUUUUGCUCACAAGCUGAGAAAGAUAUUGUUCUGUUUUUGUUAUACAAAUUAUCUAUCUGAUAUUCAUAUUGCAUAACUAGUAUCUAUUGAGAAGAAGAUUCUUUUAAGUAGGGGAAAUAAUAAGCUUCCAAUUGGUGCCUGUAAUUUCAGAACCUGGAAUCUCGGUUCCGGUUUCUAUCACAGGCAAAUUCUCUUUGUCGAUAUGUUGUUACGUUAGCGAGGCCAAAUAGGCGCUGAUUGCUUUGCUCCUAUUAUAGAAUACCACUCUGAAGAGCAUUGUGAUUAAAUGAGAGGUACAGAGUUGAUCACUUUCAUCAUCAUAACUAGCAAGAAUAGCCAUCAUACUGAAUAUGCAAGAUUUCAAAUUCAGUGUCUAUGAGACAAUUUAUGAUAUUCUCUGGUUAUUUUCUUACGCCAAUCUUCGUAAUAUCAAUAUUUAAGCACCAUAAGGAAGUGAGUCAUUAUCUUUUUCUUUUUCAAUUAAUUUAUUGUAGUUAAAAGUAAUCUGGGAUGGGCUUCUUUUUAGCUAUGUUAUCAUUCAUAUGCAAACUCUUCUUUAUGGUUUUUAUAUUGGGACAAAUUGUGAAGGAAAAUCUAUCACAAAGUUCUUCCAACUAUGAAAUCCCUGACUACCUUUUCUAACUAGAAGUAGAAGUUUUAAAUUAGAGCUACUUUUAAAGCCGAGAAACUCAUUUUCGCUUUCCCCCGUAGCCAAAAGCUCUAUACUGUUUUAGACAAAUGCCUGGCUUCCUUCUCUGGAAGUCAUUAAACUAAGCAAAUGCAUUUAACAUUUGUAUCGUCCUACUGUUUCUACUUACUCUACAUGCAUUUGCAGAUAUACGGAUAUCGAAUGUCUCUAUGGGCCGAGCACCUCGGCGCACUGGACGGCCGGUUCGACGAGCCGGGCAGGUUAGACUGUGUGAGGCUCGUAAACCAGAUAGCUGAAGAGAACUGGGAGCGAUACACUGCGGAGGAGNUUUAUCAGAACUUACACCUAUCUUUCUCAAAUGUAAUCAGGCCUUGGCCCGAAAAUACCGGCGUUUCAUGAUUUAUGUUCAUGCAAAGGGGAUGAUUGUAGAUGAUGAGUAUGUGAUCUUGGGAUCAGCCAAUAUUAAUCAAAGAUCUCUAGCUGGAACAAGAGAUACCGAAAUCGCUAUGGGCGCAUACCAACCCCAUUAUACAUGGGCCGAGAAGAAGAGGCAUCCACAUGGACAGGUUCUAUCAAACACUCUUUUGCUCACAAGCUGAGAAAGAUAUUGUUCUGUUUUUGUUAUACAAAUUAUCUAUCUGAUAUUCAUAUUGCAUAACUAGUAUCUAUUGAGAAGAAGAUUCUUUUAAGUAGGGGAAAUAAUAAGCUUCCAAUUGGUGCCUGUAAUUUCAGAACCUGGAAUCUCGGUUCCGGUUUCUAUCGCAGGCAAAUUAUCUUUGUCGAUAUGUUGUUACGUUAGCGAGGCCAAAUAGGCGCUGAUUACUUUCCUCCUAUUAUAGAAUACCACUCUGAAGAGCAUUGUGAUUAAAUGAGAGGUACAGAGUUGAUCACUUUCAUCAUAACUAGCAAGAAUAGCCAUCAUACUGAAUAUGCAAGAUUUCAAAUUCAGUGUCUAUGAGACAAUUUAUGAUAUUCUCUGGUUAUUUUCUUACGCCAAUCUUCGUAAUAUCAAUAUUUAAGCACCAUAAGGAAGUGAGUCAUUAUCUUUUUCUUUUUCAAUUAAUUUAUUGUAGUUAAAAGUAAUCUGGGAUGGGCUUCUUUUUAGCUAUGUUAUCAUUCAUAUGCAAACUCUUCUUUAUGGUUUUUAUAUUGGGACAAAUUGCGAAGGAAAAUCUAUCACAAAGUUCUUCCAACUAUGAAAUCCCUGACUACCUUUUCUAACUAGAAGUAGAAGUUUUAAAUUAGAGCUACUUUUAAAGCCGAGAAACUCAUUUUCGCUUUCCCCCGUAGCCAAAAGCUCUAUACUGUUUUAGACAAAUGCCUGGCUUCCUUCUCUGGAAGUCAUUAAACUAAGCAAAUGCAUUUAACAUUUGUAUCGUCCUACUGUUUCUACUUACUCUAAAUGCAUUUGCAGAUAUACGGGUAUCGAAUGUCUCUAUGGGCCGAGCACCUCGGCGCACUGGACGGCCGGUUCGACGAGCCGGGCAGGUUAGACUGUGUGAGGCUCGUAAACCAGAUAGCUGAAGAGAACUGGGAGCGAUACACUGCGGAGGAGAUGAGAUCACUCCAAGGCCACCUUCUCAGGUACCCAAUUAAGGUGGAAGCCAACGGUAAGGUCGGGCCCCUGCCCGGCCACGAGUGCUUCCCCGACGUUGGUGGUAGGGUUUUAGGAGUGUCCACGACACUUCCGGAUACACUAACCAUGUAAAAUGUUCUAUUUUCUAGCAGAAGGAAAGAAAAAUCUGAAAAGAGGAGAGGUUUUCCUUUUCUUUUGUCUUAGAUUGCUGAGCGAGAGUUGGUUUAAUGUUCGUUGUACAUAAUAAUAGUGAUGAUAAUAUACAUGCAUGGUGCUCUUUUUUCUUUUUCUUUUUUUGCUUUUUUCCUUGUUUGCCUUUGGGACAAUUACAAGUAGACCCCUCAAAACUUGAAAAAUAUCACAGCUAUAUGUUCAAAAUUGUUAAUUUUAAUAUUUUAUUUCUAUAAAUUUGUAAAUGAUAUUGUUUUUUUUUCUUUUUUCUGUCAAUGAGCUAUUUGCUUCUUACUAUAACUACAGAAUAACUCAUAACUUUAAGGGCUUGUAUGGUUUGCCCUUUUUUCAUCUUGGAAUUGGAAUCAGAAUGGACGAAUUUGUUUGUCCGUGUUUGAUAUACGGAAUUUUUAUUCCGAUUCUGAUUUCUGGAUGAAUGGGAGUUCUCCCAAUUAUCCUUUUUUUUAAUCCAGCCUAGAAGGUCGGAUUAGAAAUUGAAUUCGAAUAUUAAAUAGAAUGAGGUAAUGAAUCAAAUUGACAAUGAGAAUGGUUUAUUUCGAUUUCGAUUCAGAUGGCGAACCAAAUAGAAUGAGAUAAUGAAUUAUUUUGAUUUCAGCUUACUCUCAUUCUGAUUUCGAUACCGAUUCUGACUUCGAAGCAAACACCCCCUAAAUUAGACUUGUAAGAUAUAUGGUACCUUUUUAUACUUCUUUUUUUGGUAUCAACGAAACAUCAUCGUAAAGCCAAAUUUAACUAAAUUCGACUAUAUGAUUUAAUUAUAAUAAUUUAGAAGAUUCUUAUCACAAUAAAAUUUAAGAAUUAAAAUAAAAUUUUAGGAUUAAAAUAUUACGCGUCUCAUAGGUUGAGAACCAAAUAUUAAAUAUUUGCAUUUUAUUUUAUUUUUUAUUAGUGAUUUGUCUAUUUUGCAAUCGCUGCUUUUUUGUUUAUAUUUGUGUGCUCGUCGUAAUAAUUUUGCUUGCUAGCUCUCAAAGGUCAAAUUUAUGGCUGAGAAAUAGAGAUGGUCCUUUGAUGUAAAAUAGAUGUAGAUUAUUGGUUUAUCUAAAUUCCGUUGAAGUUAUUGAGGAAUAAUAUAUCUAUAUAGAUAUAGAUGUAGAUACUUUAUCACUUUUGAUACCAUCGAUUAGUUGAUCAUCUUGGAUUUCUUAUGGUAUAAGGAUGUUGAAUUGAAUGGUUGUUAUCGAUGCUUCGUACGUAUGGGAGUACUUUUAUACAUAAUGUGGGUCUAUGCAUGUUGUACAGAUUUAGAAAAAUUUCAUUCUCUCUCCUAACUCAGCUGCGUGGGCAAUCAAAGUGGCAUCAAAACCAGCAGCUCUUUGUGGGAAAUAAAAGGUUGUGCAACUAUUGUAAUCAAAGCUCCAAAACUGCCAGCAAAAAUUCAAAGAUUGUGGGCAACUUUUAAGCUCACCAUGUAAUUAUGUGGGCUGUUUAUUUCUCAGUGUUAGUGGGUUUUAAUAUAUAUGCUGCGUAGUGGUUAGAUUCUAUGUAUCAUGUGCCUAUAAAUAGAGGGUUGCCUAAGGCCAAGAGAGGGUAGAGAGUGUAUCUAUAAUUUAUAUUUCUAAGUAGCAGAGUAUUUAGUUUCUGCAGAACCUCGAUUGCUCUCUCUCGUUUUCUCUUUCUUGCACUGAGUCUUUGGGAGACGCGGAGGUCCGGACAAGCAAAAUUAAGACAGACUUACUUAUCUUCGAGCAGAAAAACGGACGCCGCAUGAACUUUGGCAUGCGAAAUCACUAAGUCCGUGACAACGUGCCCGAAAGAGUUGCCACUGUGGCCCAAAGCACGACGGUAUGUCGAUAUGUUGUUUUCUCCUCAACUCCUUCAUAUGAAAUGGCCUCCUAAUGGCUGUUUAGCGAAUUUUUGAGUUAUAGUUCUAUGCACAAGAAUUAAAAUGCUAGAAGGUUCAUUUUUUUUUUUUUUUUUAAAAAAAAAAAAAAAAAAAAAGGUUCGAGGUAGGGGUGUAAAACGGGCUGGGCGACACAUGGGCCGCCCGGCCCGACACGGCUUCGAGUCAGGCUGUAGCACGUCGCAGUUGCUGUAGUAGUCGUGCCAGCCCGGCUUGGCCUGAGCUUUCGAGCCGUACUGGGCCGCUCUCUCUUGGGUCUGACGGCCCGGCACGGCACCGCCCGAGCCGUGCCUGGGACGUGUCAGGCCAAAGAGAGGUGGGUGGCCUGGCACGGCACGGCUCGCUUGGGCUCUGCCAGUCGGGCUAGUACAGCCCGGCUCCCAAGGAGCCUUGGGGUCUGAGCUCUUAGGGAGAGGGCCAGGGGUGAUUCUUAAUCUGAUAGGCCGAAGAACUUUGGUCUAUUGGAUCAAAAGCUUAUCUUUUUUUACAAAAAAUAAUAAUAAUUCAUAUUUUUUAAAAAAAAUUAAAAAUUUGUUAUUUUUUAGUUAUUUUUAUAAAUUUUAAUUUUUUUAAUCAAAAUACCAAUUUAAAUAGAAAUAAUUUAUUAUUAUUAUUAAAUUUUACAUACUUUUAAAAAUAUAAAACAAUUUAAGCGGCCAACCUGUAGCACGGCCCGGCCCAACCCGUAACUUCCGGGCCGAAGGGCCUGUUCGGAAAAUAUCGCAUUGAAAAUCUUAUAUUGUGAUUAGAAUCUACCUAGUUUUGUGAUAAAAUAAAUAAAUCAACUUACAGAUAAAUGCUAAAAUCCAAAUAAAUAAUUUGACCGAUCCGGAAGCGUGCGUAGCACAGCCCUAACGCGUAUUUCCGCCCUUCGUGCGGGAUUAACCGAAAACACCGCCCCAAGAUACGAUUGAAAUUCCUCCUGCUACGAGCACGAACACGGACCUGUUUCGGCCCUACCUGGCCUGAAUUUGAAGUCGGACCAAACCGGACCGACCCGUGACCCGUUCCGGCCCGACUAAUAUGGGCCAUUCCGGUCCGACACGACCCAUUUUACAUUCCUAGUUCCAGGCUCUACAAUGAAGAAAUAGCUGCGCCUAUUUACUGUAUUGGUUGUUUCUACUAAAUGAUGUUACAAAGGUGGCGCAAAAAAAAGAUAUAAUAAUUUCAGAUAGCUUUUAUUUGAUCUUAACGAGAAAAAAAAAAAAAGCAUAAAGGGUGCUCAAAUUUUAGAAUUCAUAUCCUAUUUAGCUACGAGAGAGGAAAAAAAAUCAGUUUCUUUAAAAUUAGCAAGCAUUGAGUAUUUUUUACAGCUAAUGAAGCUCUAAUAUUGUACUUAUAGUAGGUGCCAAAAAAGUGUCUAGAUUCAAUGUACUGCACUGCUCUGUGUAAAAUAAUUUUAUUGCUCACUAUGAACAAUAUAGUACAAAAGGUAAUGAUAUUUUGUAUUUUUUUUCCUUUUAUUUUAUCUUAUCUUUUUUGUGGGCGUGUUUAGUUCGCUCAUUUUUCACUCUGGAAUUGGAAUCGGAACGAAUGAAUUCGUUUGUCUGUAUUUGAUAUGCGGGAUUUUCAUUCCGAUUUCGAUUUCCGGGUGAAUGGAAAUCCUCUCAAUUACUGAUUUUUCUAAUUCGGCAGGCUGAAUUGAAAAUUGAAUCCGGGCAGAAUAGAUAUGUUCGAUUAAAGUUUACAUUUUUAAGCUUAUUUUUUAAUUAAAAUAUAAGUUUAAAUUUAAAUUUUAUAUUUAUAAAUUUUAAUUUUAAUUUAAACUUAAAUUAAAAAUUAAAAUUCAAUCAAGCAUUUCUAACCUAAUUUAUAAAUUUAAAUUAAAAUUUAAAUCUAAAGUUUUAUUCGAAUUGUUUUUUCAAAAUUUAAAUUAAAUUUAUGGAUUCAAACUGAAAUUUAAAUUAUAAUUUUAAGUUUGAAUUUGAAUAAAUCAAAAUUUAGUUUUAUAUUUUGAACUAUCCGUUCAAUUUCAAAUUUUAAUUUUUUUAAAAAUAUAUUCAAAAUUUUGUCCUCAUUUUAAAAUUUUGACGUCAAUUUUUAAUAUUUAAUUUUAGUUUGAAUAUUAGAAAGAUAAAAUUUGCAUAUUAAUUUGAUUAUAUUUUUUAUAUUUAUAUGAACCAAAUACCGACAAUAAAAAUGAUUCAUUCCGAUUCCGAUUCAGGUGGCGAACCAAAUAAAAUGAUGUAAUAAAUCAUUCCGAUUCCGUUUCCAGCUCAUUCUUAUUCCGAUUUCAAUACCGAUUCCGACUUCGAAUCAAAUACACCCUGUAUGUAUUUUUCUUAAUGACAUCACUAAGUACCAUAUGCAAACUAGAAACCUUUAUAUAUAUAUAUAUAGAGAGAGAGAGAGAGAGAGAGAGAAAAAGAGAGAAAGAGACCUUGGUGCUAUUAGGCUUUCCGCUAUUUGACGAAAAAAAAUACGGUUAGGAUGAUGUGGGGCUCCUAGGAUUGAGUGUGUUAUUGGUUUAAUAGUAUAAUCUAACGGGUGAAAAUAGUCAAAGGAUUAAAUACUUAAAUCUAACGGCAGAAAACUUGGUGCUAUCGAUAGUAUCUCAGCCAGACACUCUCUUUCUCUCUCUCUUUCUAUAUAUAUAUAUAUUAAGGGUAAAAAUCAAUUUGCCCUCUAUGUGGUUUAGCUCUGUUUCACUUUACUAUUCAAUGAUUCAAAAAAUUAUAUAUAACUAUUCUGUAACCUUAUCUCUAUCUGUAUAAAAUAUCUACUAUUAAAUAUGAUAACAAAGUAAAAUUCUUUGAUAACUCUAGAAUAAUUAAGCAUAACUAUUUCAACUACAUGCAGAUGGUAAAGAAAAAGUAAGCUAAACCGUAGAAUAGUUAAAAUGCAAUAUUUUGAAUCACAGAGCGAUAAAGUGAAAAAUGAGUAAAACUACAUGCUAAUUAAGUGUAACUUUUAAAAAUGAGUAAAACUACAUGCUAAUUAAGUGUAACUUUUUAAAACAUAAUGUAGCAAAGUGAAACUAAGGUAAACCAUAAAAGAGCAAAUUGGAGUUUAUCCUUAAAAAAAUAACAUAAAUUAAACACAUAAGCAUCCACUAUUUCACUAUGCUCUUUAUUUUCAUUUAUUGCUCCAUCUGGUUCCAGAAAAAAGAAUUUUUUUAAAAAAAUAUUUUGCUAAUUUCUUAAAAUAUAAUAUUUUUUAUUUUUAAAUUUUUUAUCCAAAAAAUCAAAAUUCUGAAAAAAAAAAUGAAAAAUUUACUUGGACAUCAUUUUUCUUAGUUGUCCACAUUCAAUGAAUCGCCUCCUAUUACUAACUAGUAGUUAUUAUUUUUUUUUUCAAAAAAUAGUUUUUUACGCUUUUCGAGUAAUCAAACACUACGGAGAAGUCUAGCUACUAUACUUUUAAAAGCACAGGUACUUGGUGCUUGUAAGUUUUUCGCCGUUGGAUCUACUUUUUUUUAUCAUUUUCACUCGUUAGAUCAUACUAUUCAACCAACCACCACUACUCAACCCUAGAGGACCACAAUCAUCCUAACUGCACAUUUCUUGAUCCAGUGGCCGAAAACUUAUAAACACCAAUCACUUAGUACUUUUAAAAGCAUAGAAGCUCAAUUCCACUAUGGAGAAUCGAAACAAAUUCGCCCGGACAUCAUUUUUUUGAGUUGUCCACGUUAAAUGAAUCACCUCCUAUAGCUAACUAGUAACUAUUCCAGCUUAAUCAACAUCCAUAAUAAUAAAGUUAUCUCAAUAUGUUAUGCUACACUAGUAGCACUAUGAUGACAUAAAUUGUGUAUCAAGUAUCAACAUUUAAGCUUAAUUUAAGACCGAUCGUCCGUAGAGCAAGUGGCAAAGGGUUUGGUGGUUGGUAUCCGAUACCCAAGUUCGAAUCCUAGUUGAUUCACAUUAAUUUCCAGCUAAGUUUAUUUCUAAAUGAAAUAAACGAAGCGGGUAGCAUACUACCUAUCUCUCAAAAAAAAAAAAAAAAACUUUUAAGCUUUAAGAUUCUGCAUGCGCUAUUAGAAAAUCUGAAAAAUAUUACCACAUCGCAGUACAAUUAUGUAUUAAUUAACUAAUGACAAAAAAUCAUGAGUUGAUGAUAAAUUAGUGACUUACCAGGAGGCCCAAGCUUUUACAUGAUAAAUUAAAAUUUAUUUUAAAAUUUUUGAAUGGCAAAUAUAUAAACUUUUAGGCUUGUUUUUUCACCUUUUUUUUGGUCCAUUUAUUAACCGAAAAUUGGCUAUUGGAUCUAGACGAGAGGUUCUAUUUCCCUUCUAUUUGUUAGUGAAUGGUCCCAUUCAUAUAUUACAUGCUUAUAGAGAGAGAGAGAGAGAGAGAGCUUCACGGGCUAAGCAUUUUUGCUCACAAAGUCUGUACGGCGCCCGCCUUGAAGUCUUGUUCCUGUUAUUAGCCCGGAUUUCUGCGCCCUACAACUAAUUGUGCAAACGGGAGAAGAGAGAGAGAGACAGAUAUUAUCAGAAAAAGCUAAGUACUCUGUAUUACAUAAAAAAAAAAAAGGAUUACAAUAUACUCCCGCUUGUGUCUUGACCUUAACCAAUCUCAUAAUUUAUAGGUUUAAAGUAAAAUGAAUCUAUCCCAUCAUAACUCAUCCACUAAAUCUAUAUUAAUUCACCAACUAUUACAUAAUGAUGAGUCUAUAUGAAUGUGUGGUGAACUCAAAGAAUCUUUGCUUUUAAAAUUAUAGUAGCUCAACGUACUUAUAAUUUUUUUAUCGUUGAAUCGUCUUAAAAUUCAUUAAGUUUUAAUAACAAGAACAUAAUAAAAUAUACUGUUGAUAACGCUGCACGAAUAAUUAAUACAGGAGAGAGAGGAGACAUGGAUAAAGCUUUUAAAUCCUAGUGGCUUGUCCUUUUUGAACUGUUCCAAUCUGGUGUGUGUGGUUGCAUGUGUGUUGACAUUUAAGUCUCUGUUAACUUUAUUUCUCCCAAAUAAAAAUUAAUAUUUUUUUCUUUCUGUAUGGUAGAGAAAGUGCAAAUCAUGUUCAUUUAAUGUCCUCAGCAUAUGCUCUCUCUCUAUCUACUUCCACACUCUAUCUACUUCGUGUGGAAGCUUAUCCGUGGGUUUGAAGUUUGAACUACUGGGGCCCCCUAUAAUAUAGAGGGUUAUUUGCAUACAUAUUUCUACAAAUAUAGUGAAUUACAGAUAUAUUCUUGUAAAAUAAAAAUUCUAUAAGUUGUUCCUACAAAAGUCCUAAGUUAUACAGAUAUGUCCCUCUGGUUAACAUCCGUUAGUGAACUGUUUAUUUUUUAACAGUGAAUUCGUAAAAUGACCUUUUUACCCUCACAAAUAUAUCCCUCCAAAAGUAUCCCACUUCCCCUUCUCUUUCUCUUCCUCUUUGGGCCGUCGAAGCGGACGGCGGCGUAGCGCGAGGUCGGGUUCACUGGCGACAAAAAAGAGAGAAGAAAAAGAAGGAGAGGAAGAAGAAGAGGGAAGAGGAACAAGGAGAAGAAGAGGAAAGAGGAAGAGGAAGAGGAAGAGGAAGAGGGAGAGGGUUUGCCGCCGCCGCAUCUCCUCCCUCUCCGGCGACGAAGAAGAGGGAAGAGGAAAAGGGAGAGGAAGAAGAAGGGCGAGGAGGAAGAGGGAGAGGAAGAGGGAGAGGGUUCGCCGCCGCCGUCGCAUCUCCUCCCUCACCGGCAACGAAGAAAGGACAGAGGAAGAGAAGGAAGAGGAGGAAGAGGAAGAAGGGUAAUUCCGUCAAUUCAAAUUAUAAUUAACCAUGAUUAAGUAUUUUAAUCGUGGUUAACGAAAAUUUUCUAACAGACCUUAACGGCAGGGAUAUAUCUGCAUAAAUUAAGACUUUUGUAGGGACAACUUAUGAAAUUUUCAUUUUGCAGGGAUAUAUCUGAAAUUCACUAUGUUUGCAAAGACGUAUAUGCAAAAAACCUUAAUAUAUAUGUUAAUAUUAAUGUUGACCUUUGAUGUUACAAUUUUUUAGGCCUAGGAUAUUGUUAAAUAUGUUUCCAUAUUAUUUUUAGAUGGAUUUUUAGAUAAUACUGUAUCAAAGUUUCCGUCAUUUGGUGAGUCAUGGAUUAAUUUGAUUCUCAUCUUCAAGAUUUAGGAGCUGUUUGAUUCGCUGUACUUUAAGCUACAAGGGAAAUGCAACUGUAGAUAAGUUAAAAAAUGUAUUUCAAUUAUAGUUAUACGAGGCAGUUGGUAAAUGGUGCUUCUACACCCACUUUUAGAUAUGCCACAACUAGCAUAAAAAAAAAAAAAAUAAUUAUCUAUAUACCUCUCAAAACUUUAAAAAUACCUUAUUUGUUCUUUUUUUUUUUCCAAUAUACUCCUCAUAUAUUGCUCCAUUAUUCCAAAAUACUUUACAGUCAUCACUUGUUAAGUUAACUUAAGUUAAACAUGAGUUAAAUAUCUACCGAAGUUAAAAAAAUUAAAAUGCCACUUUUGUUCUUAACUUAAGAGCAAAUAAGAAACGUUGGUUAUGGUAAAAAGGUAUAUUUGAAAAGAUCAAAAAGCCAAAUACUUUAUGUGCCCCUAACUUAAGGAUAAAUAAGAAAAAUUGGCGCUAGUAAAAAAGUAUAUUUAAAAGGGUAAAAUAGUAAUUUUAUAAAGAUAACAGAGUUUAUUAACAGAUUUUAACUCUAAGGGUAUAUUUGAAAUAGGUUGGAAUGUGAAAAAAAUGUAUUUUCAAUAUUAACCUUCUAAGUGGGGUAAGUCAGAAAGUCGAAAAUUUUUCAGGAGUAUGUAAGCAACUGGCCCAAAAAAAUACAUAGAGAGAGAAAUGCUUCUAGUGGAUAAAAUGGAGUAGGAAAAAAGACAUAUAGAGAUACAUUUCUGUAUUUUUUGAUAAAACUGUAGAAAAUAUAUUAUAAUGGACUCAUUAUGAUAUGCAGAACGCGAUAUUACAUAUGAAAAUAAAUAUGAAAUUUUUUCAUAUAUCAUAUUUUUUUACUGUACGUAAUGUAAUCUUAAUUUCCGCUAUUCUAAAUGAUGCCUAAGUAAUUAGUUUAAAUUUUAAAGUCAAAAUAUUUAAAGAUUGGAUAGCAAAAUUAAAAUUUUAAAAGAUUCGGCAGUCAAGAGUAAGAUGAUUUAUAACUCAAGUAAUUUUAUACUUCUUUAUCUUUAUCUAUAAGAUGAAUAAGAUGUAUAAUAUACAUGUCAAGUAGGGUGCCAGUGUAGCAAUUUUUUUAAAAUAAAAAAAAAACUUCAAAUACCAUCCUGUAGUUUCAUACUUUCUCACUUUACUACAUUAUGGUUUAAAGUGUAUCACCUUCGUAUCCUGUGAUUUUAUUUUUUCUCUUUUUGUUAUCCCUUUAUUAAUUUUUUUCGUUAAAUCAGUGAUAAAGAUAAAAACAAAAGAGUACUAAAGUGAAUAUUCGAUAAACUAUAGUAGAGUGUCGGGAAUUUUUUGUACAUUAUUUAAUGAAAAGUUAACGGAAGGGGAGACGAAGAGAGAAAAAUAAAACCAUAAAGUACAAAGUUGAUACAUUUUAAAUCAUAAGAUACUAAAGUGAGAAAGUGAGAAACUGCAAGAGUGGUAUUUAAAAUUUAUCCAAAGAAAACCUUCUUUGAGAGAGUCAUUUCCAAUUGCAUGGAAACUUUUUUUUUUAUUUUUGUUGUCGGGAAUUUAGGAUAAGGUUGGAAAGAACAGCCUGGGCCCACCACCAACCUGCGUGAGGAAGCGCGGCGACCGGGCCACGUUNCGCGGCGACCGGGCCACGUCAAAGGGGGGCGGAAAGCCGAUCGAGCAGUCUGGCACGGCGCGCCUCUUCGCAGCCUCCAAGGGCCGUCCUUCUGUUCCGCCCCCACCACCCCACCACGCCUGUCUGGCCUGCCACGUAAAGUCGCAAUCCUCCGAUCCCCCCCCGCUGCCCGUACCGUCUGCCCACUUUUUCUCACCUGCCGCAAGAACCGAUGCUCCCACGUGGCACACGCACGCGCGGCGUCCCGCUCGAACCCCCCAUGAUAUCAUUUGAACUCUCUUGUUUGUUUUACACCGAGUUAGAACCGAGCUAAAUAAUUUUUGAGUCCGGUUACUAUGAUAUUAAUUGCACGAAGCACUUGGUGCUAUUAAAUUUUUCGUCGUUAGAUCUAUUCUUUUGAUUAUUUUUACCCGUUGGAUCAUACUAUUCAACCAACCAUCCACUAAACCCUAGGGGGCCCACAUCAUCCUAACCGCACAUCUCUUAAUCCAAUAGCCAAAAACUUGAUAGCACCAAUGACUUCGUGCUAUUAAUAGCAUAGUAGCCCAGUUCAUAAUUUUUUAUUAGAUUAAAUUACAUAAAAUUUCUCUGUCAAAACUCAAUCUUUUACUUUACUUUUCUGUCAUUUAAAAAUCUACACUUUGGCCUCUUGUAAAAUAAAAAAUGUUCACUUUACCUCUGCCGUUAGUAAUCCGUUAAGGUUCCGUUUAUAAAAUAUCAUUAUAUUUUUUUUAUAUCAAAAAUAUUCUUAGCCUCCUCUUCUGUUGCCAAAAAUGGUAAGGAGCAAAAUAGUUAUUUUGUCAUCACAGUUUACACCGUACCCUCCUGUGACUAUUUUUUAUUUUACAAGGAGGCCAAGUGUAGAUUUUUAAAUGACAGGAAAAGUGAAAAAUCGGAUUUUGAUAGGGAGAUUUUAUUAUAAUAAAAAAAUUCAUACCAUACUUGAAAUUUAGAUUAAUUUUAUACAGGUCUCUAUAAAUAUAAUAAAUUAUAAAUAUAUUUAUAUAAAGUUUAAUUUUUUAUAUAUUAUUUUUAUAAAAAAAUUCUAAUAUUUUCAAAUAUAUCUCUGAUUUGUUGCCGUUAAAGUACUGUUUAUUUUAUAAGUAAAAUAACUUUUUUGUCAUUAUAAAUAUAUAUCCUCCAACUGUUAAUUGAAGAGGGAUAAAAAGGUCAAUUCACUUCAUUAACUAAUUAGGAUUAAGUAUUUAACAUAUGGUUAACUAAAAUUUUCUAAUGGAUUCUAGCGGUAUGGACAUAUUUGAAAAGGUUAAUUGCAUGUAGGUCCCCGCAAAUAUAGUACAUUACAAAUAUAUUCCUGUAAAGUUCAACUUUCACAAGUUAUCCCUACAAAAAUCCUAAUAGUGUCAGAUAUAUCCCUGCCGUUAGAAUCCGUUAGAAAAGUUUAGUUAACCAUAGGUUAAAUACUUCAUCCUAGUUAAUUUUUAAUAUUUUUACCCUUCUUAUAUUACACUAUUAUUAUUUUUGGAGGGACAUUUCUGAUGGCAAAAUUGAAAAUAUAAAUAGUUUUCUAACGGUAAUAAACCGGAGGGACAUAUCUAAAAAUAUUAAGACUUUGAACUUUAUGGUAUCGUUUAGUUCGGGGAUAAGCAAAAAGUGGCUAUUCCAGGAAUAGGCAUAAAUUAAGGUAAAAGUAGGGACUAGAUCAAUUUUGCGUUUAGAUGAAAAUUGGGUUAUUCCUGGGAAUAAAAAAAAUAACGUUUGGUUAGGUAAGAUGGAAUAAGAAGGAUAGUGAGUUUUAUAAAUAAAAAGUAAUGAUAUUAUCGUCUUAUUAUAUUUGAAUUUGAAUUUUUAAAAUUUUAAAUUUAAAAUUUAAAAUU
rnacentral:lncRNA from 1 species